GAGGAAGGGGUAGGCCAAAAGGUUCUAAAGAAAAGGUGAAGUUCUUCCCUUUAAUGUCUUUUUUUUUUUAAAUAAUUACCAGAUUCUUACUUUUGAUUGGUUGAUGUAGGAUGUUGGUACUAGCACUGAUGUAAGAACACAAUAUAAGAAGCCAAUGAUGGUUGGAAUGGGAGUUUUACACACUCAAAGUGGCUUCAAAAUUCAAAAUGUAAGUCUAACACAACCUCUCAUAUUUAGGCGAAUUCAUUGUCUGAUUUUCUGUUGGAUCUUGGCAGCAUGGAAUGUCACCUACAAACUUUAAGAAUGUGAGGUCUUCGGCAGAAGUAACUGGACAUCUAGGCCAUCAACCAGUGUAAAAUGGAAAGGUAAAGAAGCUAUGACAUCAAGGCAGCUUCAACAAUUGAGAGGCAAGAAACUCAUUCAAACAAGGUCUAGGGCUGCUAAGUUGAGCCAGGAAAGCACCACUACAAAUCAACCCAAUUGAUGAAGAUAUUGUUUUGUUGAUGACUGUAUUGCAAUAGACUGCAUUAUGCUAAAAUUUUAAGCAGCUAUAGACUGCAAUUCUAUAUUAUGAUAAGGAUUUUUAGGUAGCUAGAGACUGCAUUUUGCAUUUUGUUACAUUUGGUAUAUGUUUUGUUGCUGCUACAAUGACAACAAACAGCUGUUUUGUCAACUCAUUUUUGUGACUUUUAUUAUGUUUGUUUCGUUUAGGUCAAUGAGACCAAAUAUGUGUUUCAAUAUAGUUUAUGCAUCUGUCAUAUUAAGUCUUUUGUGUGUCUAUUGUUGAUUGCCAAGUUCUGAAGUUUAUGCAGUUUACUUCACAAUGUAAAAACAGCGCUUCAUUAGAAAUAACAAUUGAUAAGCAACAACUAUAUACAUAUUGAGAUGAGAAAACUACAAAAGGCUUACAUUCAAAUGAAAGGUCUAUUGCAAACAUACAAAAUAAAACCUACAAGCAACAACUACAUACAUAUUGAGAUGACAAAACUAGAUUCACAAUGGCAACCUCAUUGCAUCUUCUUUCAAUGACAUUCAUGGAUACCUACAAGCAACAAGUAUAAUACGCAUCCCCAAUAUAAUGAACCAAAGUACAUUUUCCCUAGCUUUUGACUUAGCCAAUUUACUCUUCCACUUCUUUUCCUUCUCUUUCAUCUUCUUCAUAUCAACUUACAAUUUCACCUUGGGUUCUGAGGGGUCCAAGCUGUUAACAAAGGCAGCACAUAGCCAUGGUUGCAUCGAAUUUCUCCACUUGACUCAUUUUCUUCCUCUUCCGUGCAAAGCCUUGUCAAAUUCAAGCCUUUUGAAGGCAUUGCAACAACUACAACACAAACAGCCAAUACAAAGUCAGAUAAUUUGCAUUUGCUUUCAAAGAUCAGAUAAUUGAAUUUUAGGAGAAAGACAUAACAAUAAUAAAAGAAAGAAAUUAGUGUUCUUAAGAAUAAGAAAGAUUAACCUUUGCCUUCAAAGAUUAAAACUUCAAAGGGCAAUACAAUUUGAUGGAAUUUCAGAAGAAGAAGAAGAAGAAGAAGAAAAAGAAGAAGAAGAAGAAAUUAGGGUUCUUCAAUUGGGUUUGGUAAAAUAUUGGGGAAGAGGGGAUUUUACCAUUGAUUGGGGGUUAUAUUAAGGUUAAAAAUUUAUUUUUUUCUUUUUUUUGUGGGUAUUUUCAACGAUUAAAAGAGAGUAAAGACGCGCUCAAUUCGGUUGUCUAAGACGUGCGGUUGGCCAGGCCUUAGGAGGGAGUAAAUAAAUACAAUUCUUUAAAUAAUAGUGGGGUGUUAGGACACCCGUAAAGUUUAGGUGUGUAAAUGAUUUUCCAGGACAAGUUGAACGGGUCUUUAUGCAUUUUCUCUUUUCUUUUUAAUCUAUAUAUAAAACAAGGAGUAUAAUUUUAUGUUUAAAAAAAUUAGUUUUACACUUCUUAUUAUCUUUAAUGAAAUGAUUUUAGCCAAAUAAAUAUUUAUAAUUCUUUUAAAUUAUAGGUUUCAAACGUUUUUUUUCUUCUUAAAUUUCAUGAUUUUUUAGCAUAUGUUGGGCUGCUCAUAGAAACAUUUUUUUUAUUGGAAUUAGUUAAGUAGCAACUUUUAUAGCUAGUUAAAAGUAAUAGUACUAUAUACUUUAACUUCAAUUCACGAUCAUUAUGAUUAAAUUAUUUGAUUUGGUGUUAAUAUUGAGUGCAAAUACGAUUAUUUUAGGAAUACUAUGGUAGGAGUUGGAGUAGGAAGAGCUUGCAGAAUUUUUAGUUUCGUAUGCUGUGUGUAUUAAGGGAUGAGCAAGCAGUUUUCUAACUUAAAUAAAUUACCUAGUCGUGCUAAAAUGUUGAUAAGUUGCUCAUUCCAAAUUUUAGGUUUCACCUUAAGCUCGAUUGUUAGAAACUGCUUCAACUUCAAUUGCUCAUUAUGGAUUUGCUGAAGUUCAUAAACUAGAAGAAGCAACCAAAGGAGAAAACCUAGCACCUUACCGGAUCAUUUUACCUCUUGACAUUUCGACAGAUAACUCUUAGCAUUGUAGGCUCCAACUGUUUUGAGCUGCUCAUAGAAGCAUUUUUUCUUUGAAGUAUCCAAAUAAGAUGGGGUAUGUUAUAAAAUAAUGACUUUAAAGUAAAUGAAUCAAAGACAUUAUAGAAAUAAAGAGUAAUAAUUAUUCAAUUUGAAAUUGAUGUAUAUAAUGAACUGAAUUUAUUCUUUUUACAUAGAAGAAAAGAAGAUGUUGUGUAAGCUGCCAUUACAAGCUGCUGUGUAAACUGCUACUGCAAGCUGCUGUGUAAGCUGCUACUGCAAGUUGCUAUAGAUAAUCUUUUACAGGGGGUAAUAUUUAUCCAUAAUGGAGUACUGAAAUGAUAAGCUUUUUCAAGAGGCUUAUUUCCAAUGGAGUACUAAAUUGAUAAACAUAUUUAGGGCGGAGUUCAAUAUGGAUAAACUCCUUCAGGAAGUUUAUUUACAGCAAAGUAUUAAAUGGACAUCCACAAUACAAUAUAUUUAUAACAGGGUAGUCCUUAAACAAUUUUACUUAAUCCCACAUUCAUUUAUCUUAGAGUUCACAUAAUUGAAUCAUCCUUCAAGCAAUAGCAGAGGUAUCAAAUUUAAAAAAAAAAAUAAGAAAAGAAGUCAAGGAAAUUAUAUAUACAUAAAGGAUAGGUAAUAAAUAGUAUAUUAUAUUAUCACACGUUAAACUAUAUUAUGAGUUAUAGUAUUGGUGAAAGUAAACAUAAACUAUUUUAAAAGUAAAAGCAAAAAAAGAAAAAGAGUUACAGGCAGGUCUAUACGUUUUGGACCAUAUUUUGAGAAGAUGAGGGUUGAAAGAGCAGGGAGGAGUAUAUUUGGAAUGAAAAUGAUUGUCGGAUUGUAUCUUCUGUCUUCUUUUCCUUGGUAGUAUAGGACCUUAGGUUAGUUUGCACAAAGAGGAAUUUUGACUAAGUGCAUUUUCAACCUUUACUUCAUUUUUUAUCUCUAAAAUAGGGAUUUGCUCAUUUUAGGGAUAAUUUAUUUCAACCAUUCCCUUAUUUUUUUUCCCAAACCUUUUUAUAUUCUUCUCUCUCUUCUAUAUUAUAUUAUUAUCUUUCAUUUUAAUUUUCAUUAAACAAAUUCCAUGUUUUANNNNNNNNNNNNNNNNNNNNNNNNNNNNNNNNNNNNNNNNNNNNNNNNNNNNNNNNNNNNNNNNNNNNNNNNNNNNNNNNNNNNNNNNNNNNNNNNNNNNNNNNNNNNNNNNNNNNNNNNNNNNNNNNNNNNNNNNNNNNNNNNNNNNNNNNNNNNNNNNNNNNNNNNNNNNNNNNNNNNNNNNNNNNNNNNNNNNNNNNNNNNNNNNNNNNNNNNNNNNNNNNNNNNNNNNNNNNNNNNNNNNNNNNNNNNNNNNNNNNNNNNNNNNNNNNNNNNNNNNNNNNNNNNNNNNNNNNNNNNNNNNNNNNNNNNNNNNNNNNNNNNNNNNNNNNNNNNNNNNNNNNNNNNNNNNNNNNNNNNNNNNNNNNNNNNNNNNNNNNNNNNNNNNNNNNNNNNNNNNNNNNNNNNNNNNNNNNNNNNNNNNNNNNNNNNNNNNNNNNNNNNNNNNNNNNNNNNNNNNNNNNNNNNNNNNNNNNNNNNNNNNNNNNNNNNNNNNNNNNNNNNNNNNNNNNNNNNNNNNNNNNNNNNNNNNNNNNNNNNNNNNNNNNNNNNNNNNNNNNNNNNNNNNNNNNNNNNNNNNNNNNNNNNNNNNNNNNNNNNNNNNNNNNNNNNNNNNNNNNNNNNNNNNNNNNNNNNNNNNNNNNNNNNNNNNNNNNNNNNNNNNNNNNNNNNNNNNNNNNNNNNNNNNNNNNNNNNNNNNNNNNNNNNNNNNNNNNNNNNNNNNNNNNNNNNNNNNNNNNNNNNNNNNNNNNNNNNNNNNNNNNNNNNNNNNNNNNNNNNNNNNNNNNNNNNNNNNNNNNNNNNNNNNNNNNNNNNNNNNNNNNNNNNNNNNNNNNNNNNNNNNNNNNNNNNNNNNNNNNNNNNNNNNNNNNNNNNNNNNNNNNNNNNNNNNNNNNNNNNNNNNNNNNNNNNNNNNNNNNNNNNNNNNNNNNNNNNNNNNNNNNNNNNNNNNNNNNNNNNNNNNNNNNNNNNNNNNNNNNNNNNNNNNNNNNNNNNNNNNNNNNNNNNNNNNNNNNNNNNNNNNNNNNNNNNNNNNNNNNNNNNNNNNNNNNNNNNNNNNNNNNNNNNNNNNNNNNNNNNNNNNNNNNNNNUACUUAAUUAAAAUUUUUUUUUUGUUGAAAUUGAUUAUCAUAGGGAUAUGGAUAUGUGAUUAGCAACAGUAACGAUAAACGUAGCAAUCUGUCAUGAUCCAAAAUUCAGGAGUCGUGAUGACAUCUAACCUAACCCGUUAGGUAAGCCAACUGAUAGCUAUCUAAUUUCAAUAAUAUUAAUAAGACAAUUAAACCAAGGAAUUCUCUGAAUCUUAUACAUUUCUCAACGACUGGUAGUACAAAUCAUGAGCUUCUAAGAUUAGAAUUUAUAAAGCUGGUAUGAAAUAAAUACAUCAUCUGUUUGAAAUGUACAUAAACAGAUUUGUAUGAAUCUAAGGCUACCAUGAACAAUAGGUAGCUACAAUCGGAACGCAUGUACAUCUUCCAAUCUGGCAACCAUCGAGCACAACAACAACAACAGCCAACAUCUGUACGCAAUAUGCAGAAGUGUAGUAUCAGUACAACUGACCCCAUGUACUGAGUAAGUAACAAAUCUAACCUUAGGUUGAAAGUAGUGACGAGCUGGAACAUAGGUCGGGUCCAAUACCAAUAACUAAUAACAGUUCAUAAUAACGUAGAGCAUAUAAAUAAGGAAGUAAUUCAGAGAUAAGAAUGCUUAGCUUUUUCACAGUUUUCCGAAAAUAGUUCCGCUUUUUAAGAAUAUCAGUGAAAACUCAAAUCCUCUACCGAAAUCGUUGUAAAAUAUGAGAUAGUUUGAAGACUGUAAUUUAUCUAAAAAAUCCUUUUCACAAUAAAUAAGAUGUUUUAUUUUUUUCCAGAUAGCAAGUGUGAAAUACCUCUCUAUGACCACAUAUCAAUGUGUGUAAAAAAUCACGAAUGACGUGAUACCGUACAGCAUGAGGAAAAUGCGUCUCUAUGUAUGUAUGUCAUAUAUGCAUGCCAAUGCCAUGUAUCCCAGAGAUAAAUCAUGUACCCACGCUCUCAGAGUACUCAAUCUCACUAUUUCACUCUUUCCACUUAUCACGCUCAACCACUCAUUACUGUAUAUGGCCCAUACGACUUAGGAAAAUUCAUCCCGGAACAUAUACAACACUGACUAUAAGUCAUCCAGUACCGAGAAAAAAAGGCCAAUCCAACCCUGUGGAGAAAUCCAUCUCCAAGUAUCAAGUACUUCGAACAAAUCCAUGUCCAGAGAAAUCCAUCCCUCAAUAAUAUCAUCCGCGCUCACUAAGGGUGUGUACAUACUCCGGAGGGGCUCCUGCAGCCCAAGCGCUAUCAUAAUUAUCAAUAUAAUCACUGUGACGUGCAACCCGAUCCCAUAACUGUCACUCAUAAUUAGGCUCUCGGCCUCACUCAGUCAUCACUCUCUCCAGUCUCACCCACAGGCUCACAAUGUCAUGAAGACUAACCCAGAAUAAUGAUAUGAUGUGCCAAUAAAUAAUAACUGAGACUGAGAUAUGAUAUAAAUGCAUGAAUAUGAUUGAGUACGAAAUAUUAAUGGAAACCAGAGAGAUGACAGCAAGAAAUGACCACUAUGGUUCCUAACAAUAUCAGUAUAAAACCUAAACAUGAUAUCUAGCAUGAUUGACAGCUCAGUUACUUAAUCAUAUGGUGAAAACAUAGCUAUCAACAAAAUAGGGCCAUUAAAUAGUGCUAUGAAAACAACGGAAUCCCAAUUCACAGGGUGCACGCCCACACUCUCGUCACCUAGUAUGUGCAUCACCUCAUCAUCAAUCACAUAGCAUGUAAUUCGGGGUUUCAUACUCUCAGCACCAAGUUUAGAAGAGUUACUUACCUCGAUCAAGCCAAUUCCAAUACCGAGCAAGCCAAUCGAUGUUCCAAAAAUGCCAUCACGUGCAUAGCAACCUCCGAACGACUCAAAACUAGCCAAAAGCAACUCAAAUAUAUCAAUUAAAGCCCAAGGGAACAAUUCUAAAUGAUAAAGAUCGAAUCCUAAAUCAAAUCCCAGAUCCGGCCAAUAAUACACCCGGGCCCGUACCUCGAAAUCCAAAAAAACUCACAAAAUUAUAUAACCCAUUCAAUUACGAGUCCACCAUACUUGUUUCACUCAAAUCCGACUCCAAAUCGGUGUUCAAAACUCAAAAAUUUAAAUUAUGAAACUUUAGGCCAAAAUCCUCAAUUUCCUCUUUAAAACUCAUCAACCAAAAGCUAAAAUCGAUGAUAGAUUCAUGGAAUAUAAUCAACUGAGUAGAGAACACUUACCCCAAUUCAUAUGGUAAAAAUUGCUCCAAGAAUCGCCUCAAUCCGAGCUCCAUAGCUCCAAAAAUGCAAAAAUGGCCGAAACCCUCGAAAUAGAGUAUUAUAUAAUCUGUCCGGCCUCCUCUUUCGCGAACGCGGUAGAAGCCUCUCAUUCGUGAAGCUCAAUUCCACACUGCUUCACCUUACACUACGAUUUCAUGGUCGAACCAUCGCGAACCCGAUGAAGAACACUGCCAGCCCCUCCGCUCAACACUACGCGACCGCAUAACCAUGUACCCGGACGCAAAGAACACAGCAUCAACACAAUGUGAAUGCGACUGAGGAAAACCGAACGCAAAGAACAAACCUCUGCACUGGCCUAAUUACCCUCCGCGAAUGCGAUACUCCAUCCGCGAUCGUGAAGCAUAGCUGAAACACCAGAAAAGCAGCAAAACAUAGUAGCGCUAACUAAAGGAAAAAUAGCCCGAAAUCAAUCCGAAACACGCCCGAGCCCCUCGGGACCCCAUCCAAGCAUACCAACAAGUUUAAUAACAUAACACGGACCUACACGAGGCCUCAAAACACACAUAACAAUAUUAAAACGAUGAAACACACCUUAAUUCAAAAUCUAUGAACUUGAAACUUCGAACUUCCACAACCGAUACUGAAACCUAUCAAAUCACGUCCGGUUGACCUCAUAUUUUGCACACAAGUCACAUUUGACAUUACGGACCUACUCCAACUUCUGGAAUCAAAAUUCGACCCCGAUAUCAAAAAGUCCACUCCCGGUCAAACUUUUCAAAAUUCCAACUUUCGCCGUUUCAAGCCAAACUUUACUACGGACCUCCAAAUCACAAUCUCGACGCGCUUUUAAGUCCAAAAUCACUUAACGGAGCUAAUGGAACCAUCAGAAAUCCAAUCCGAGGUCAAUUACUAAAAAGUCAAAUUUGGUCAAACUUUUCCAAUUUAAAACUUCUAGUUGAGAAUCAUUCUUCUAAAUCAAUUCCGAAUAACCUGAAAACCAAAAUCGACGAUUCACGUAAGUCAUAAUACAUCAUAUAGAGCUUCUCAUGCCCUCAAACAACCGAGCGAAGUGCAAAUGCUCAAAAUAACCGGUCGGGUCGUUACAUCCUCCCCCAUUUAAACACACGUUCGUCCUCGAACGUGCCAAGGGUUGUUCACUACAAGAAAGUUUAGAAUUGGCAACAAUCUUUUUACAAUAACAAUAAUAUUGUUGCAAAAUAUAAUAAAUGGCAACAACUUCAUUUAGUUGUUGCUAUAUCAUAGAAUUUUUACCCAUAAUUUUUUUUUGUUAGCAAAAGUUUUAAUAUUGUUGCCAUAUUUAACAAAUAAUAUAAUAAAUUUUAAAUAUAUAUAAACCAGCAACGACUUUUUACCAACAAUAUUAUAGUUGUUGGCUAAGUUUACUAAAUGACAACAAUGAAAUUAGAUUGUUGCUGUAUCAUAUAAUUUUUAACUUAGGAGUAAUAUAAUAAAUAUAAAAUAUAAAGAUAAUUGGCAACAAUAAAUAUAAGUUGUUGCUAAACACAAAACUUUCUCUGCAACCCCUUUUAGUUGUGGCCUAAAAUUUAGUAAAUUUUACGCCAAAAUAGUUUUUCGCCAAAACAAACGUGCCAAAAUAGUUUUCCCCGUUCUAUUACUUUUUCGGUUUUCCCCAAUUUCUUAGUUUCCACUGCAACUAGGUUUUCUCUUUUCAUUAUUUUGCUAAACUAAGAUCUUGCAUCUGGUGUUCAAUUCUUCGAUCUCUUCCACUGUGUUCAACCUCAGAAUCUGGUGAGUUCUCGCUUUUGAAUUCAUUUCUACUCAAUGUCUGGUACUUUGAGCUUUUGAUUUAGUUUAAUGUGUACUCUUCUUCUUAAUUUGCGAUCUAUGGAAUCUAUUCUAUUUUUUUUUCUUUUUAUGAUACAACUCAAAAUUUUUGGACUAGAAAAAAGAUGAGAAUUGGAGAAGAUAUGAUUUUUGAGAAGAGGGUUUUUAUACCUCAAACUGAAGUUUCUCUUGCUGCUAUUUGUCGCGCCCCCUUUUUUCCCUUCUUGACGGGAAAAGUCCAGGUUUCGACAUUCAUCAGGGGAGAUAACUCGUUUCCUUUUGGGAAUUGGGUAUUUGAAGAGUCGUCACCUAACAGAUUAUGGUGUGUUAGGGCACCUAGAUCAAUUAACUCAUGAACUAGUUUGCAUUACCAGAGAUUUGGAUAAGGACUCGAAUAACCUUGAGGGGAAGGUGUUAGGCGCCCCUCGGGGUCCACAACGGUGGGUCCUGGCCGAACAUAAACUAUGUGAAUUAGUCAUUUUAAUAAAUAAACAGUUUUAACACACACUCGCAAAUAAAGGCAUGUUUUUGACAUGUAUGGUUCAAGUAAUGAAAGUAAGGGAAAAGGGUUUGAACAAUUUGCACAUAUGUAAAGAAAGUAAACUCAUUUAAACACCGGGAGUUGGGAAAAGGGGUCCUAGGUUGGUUAGCCUACAGGAUCAUACCCACACAAUGCCUUGUAAUCACUCCUCAAUGAGGGGAUACACGUGACAUUAGCGCGUAGUCAUCAUAUCCUUACUACCCAAUUCCCUCCCCUUGGUCACAACCUAAAGCGUUCUAGCAAUCUUAAAAGAUACCCUAUGCGUGCACUACCUGUCCCUUCCUUGUGGCCCUGGAGGUAUUUAGGACCUCUAAUUUAGGUAGUUUUAGACCAUCCUAAGGUAUUUAAAGGAUAAAAUCUACGGGUCAACCAAAACAAUUAGGACUACAUUUAAAGAGGGAACAAUUAAAGGCUCACAUUACCUCCACAAACCGAACAAGUAAGUGCACGUCUCAAACAACAGUUUCAAGUAUUUAAGAGAAAACUUUAGAGCAUGAUAUCUAGGUGAGCAGAGAAUGGGCAGUACUGAAUUUGGACCAAAGUGUCGAAGACCUAUUCAGCUUGCCUACUGAUUUUAGACCCAUUGAUUAUGAGCAGUCACAGAUAACAAGAUGCAAUUUUAUUGUUUGCAGAAUUUUAAUCGCCCUACAAGCUUGCCUAAACGUAUAACAGUAAUGUCCUAUGAGCAUGAUAUCUAUUAUUGACCAGGAAUGCAGUAAAACAGUAAACGAUUUUUAAACGGACAAUAUGAGAUCCUAUAGGCAUGCUUUCUAGCAAUAUUAAUUAAGGCAGCAUUUGAAAACUUAUUAAGGAAGCGGACAAAUUAGUAAAUUAAACUGAUUCAGAAUAAACUAACAUGAAUUAAACUGUUUUUCUAACUAAACUGGUUUUAAGUCCUAUAGGCAUGAUUUCUAGUUCAACAUAAGGUGAAACAAACAUCAUUCAUUUAACCAAAGUGAAACCCCUAUAGGGAUAAUUUUUAUCAGAGCUGAUUUUAACCCUAUAAGUAUGAUCUCUAUUAUUAAAGCCAGUUUAGAUCCUAUAGGCAUGACUUCUAAUUGUGUGGAAGUAAAGCAACCAGAACUUAUUUUAAACCGAAGCAGAUCCUAUAGGCAUGUUAUCUAACAAACACAUUUGAAUCAAUAAAGACCUUAUAGGCAUGGUAUCUACCCAAUUUUACAUACAAUAUACAACUACCCUCCCUUUUUUCACUAAUCACCCCACUGUUUGUUUACAAUUAAUUAUUACAGACUAAUGAAUUGAAAAAUACAUAAAUAGACAGAAAAUUAAUCUAUAGGGAGCUUGAGGUAGUCCCAAAUGAUUUCCAAGCCUCCAGUAGUCUCAAAUGCCAAAGUUCCAUAGCCAAAUUCAUGCCUAGGUGUGUCAGAGUUCCCUAAGGACCUUAAGGAUCCUGGGCAGUGCUCACACCUAGACCCUUCUCAAAUAAUAACUGAAUUAGGUGUAGUGUGGAAAUGCCAGCCCUGACAUGCCAGAGUUCAGAGAGAUCUUAAGGGUCUCAAGGCAGUACACAUAUUAGAGGGACAAGACCUAGUAUUCUAAGAGUAAGUGGAAGUGCAUAAUGGUUUGAAAGAGUUUAAUAGAUAAUAUAAAGAAAGGUCUUAAGAUUGAAAAGAAUUUCUGAAAAAAAACAGUGCUGAUUUUGGUGAUAAAACAGUUUGAGGAAAGUGUAAAGAAAUAAUUUGCAAUCAGAGCACAAGUCAUAGAACAAAACAAGCUUUAGGAACAACUUUCACACAAGGGAAGAGGGGUUGGGAACAUAGAGAAUACACCUCAAUGGAACACACAAACAACAAGAUAAAUAGAGUUUGAAGCGUUCUAUAGAACUAGUAGGUUAGGUAGAAUGCAGCAAAGAUUACAGUAGAAGCAUGUUGAAGCCAUUCUAGGGAGAGUAAUUAACUUAACAGGAGUGAGGCAGAACAUACAAAGACUUAGAUGGGCAUGCUAAACAAAUAUUAACAAAUGAAGGCAUGCUAAUUAUAUAGAAGCAAAGUUUAGAAAAAAUAGUAGUUAGUCAAACAGGCCUAGUUACAUAUGUAGAUCUGUCAAACAAGACAGCAAGCAAGCAAGCAUAGUGGAAACAUGUUGAUCAUAGAUUUGAGCUGGGUGAGCAGUAAACAGAAGCAAGAAUGGACAUCAGGUCAUAUAAACUAAAGUAGUACAUAAACACAUAGGUUUUGAUUCUUAAAAAUUAAUCAGAAGUAUACCUAGAUAAAGAAAGAAAACACAAGGUGUGAGCAAGGUGUUGUGCAAUUCCCAGCCUUGGCUUGCAGCCGACUAGAAUAACAGAGAUCACAAGUAGAAAAGAGAGCAAAGAGAGCAGAGAGAGAGCCUUUUAGAGUGUAAGGUGAUAGUUUCUGAAAUAUUGUUCGUGUCCAGCAGUUAAAAUAAGAGGGAUUUUAUAUAGUAAUCAAGAGUUAAACAAAAUAAGGUAAGGGAUCAAUUAAGUAGCAAUUAGAAAAAUUCAUGGAAUCAAUCACAUGUAAAAUCAGUAAGUCUUCCCUUGAAUCAAGGGAUAAUCAAUCAACGGUAAGAGCAUGACAGAUAUUUUAAGGAAGGAAAUCAAGUAAGGCAAUUAGGGGUGAAUGAACAGGGGUCCAAUUAAGGAAAUAGUUAGCACGAAUCAGUAAAUAACAAAUAAGGUAAGAGGAAACUAAUUAAGGCAAGAAGUUGAAUUAAACUGAGUAUAGUAAUGAGAAUCAAGGACUUUGUUAGGGAAAAGGGCUCAAUUUAAACUGAAAAUAAGAACUUCAGAAUAAUCAAGGUUUUAACUAAGGAGAAAAUCACGUAAAGAGUCAGCAAAUAUCGCAGACAACUUAAAUAAAGCAAGAAAAGAAUAGUCAGAAUAAACAUAGAUAUAUAUAAUAAGUAGAAAAGUUGAACCAAGAACUUAGUAGAGGUAUAUUAGGAUAAGAAAAUCACGAGACAUCUAAAUGGCUAAAGAGAAAUCACAAGAACCAAGGCAAGAAAAAAGGCAGUACACAAGUAACUCAGAAAACAAACAAAGGAGUCGAAAAAAUUAGGGCUUUUAGUGUAAACGAGUUAAAGUUAGAGAAAACCUAACAAAAUCGGUUAAAACAUAUAAAAAACAGAAGAUUAAACACCCAAAUCAUCAAAUGUUUUGGAAAAAGAAAUUUCGGAAACCCUAGUAUAGAGAAAGAUGAAAAAUAAUUAAAAUAUCAGACAAUUCUUGUAAAGAAUCAAAAGGUUAUUAUAAAACUCAUAUUAAAUAGGUUCAAACCAUCUCAGAUCUGUACAGAUCUAAGAAGUUUAGAAUGAAGAAAUUAGGGUUUCUUGAAGAACAAUCACAUAGAUGAAGAAGCAAGCUUAGAAACCCCUAGAUUCAUGACGAUAUUGGGAGAUCUUACUUGGAACCAAACCGAAACAGUCUGAAACAGGCGAGAAAGGGCCAGAGAUGAAAGCGUACUGACCCUGAUCCCUCGAGGACCUUAGAGAUGGCAAGACCAGCGUGAGGGAGGCCAUUAGAGGCCUGGUGGUGGUGGUGGGGAAACACCAUGAAAGGCAGCAGAUGACCGGCGAUGUGGGUAAAUUAGGGUUAGGGUUUGAGAGCUUUUGAGAGGAAAGGGAUUUCAGGGCGGCGGUUGGUGAGAAAUGAGAGGGUUUGGGGGGUCGUUUGGGACUAAAAAAAGGAAGGGGCCAAUUGUGGCCGUUGAUCUCUAUGAUCAACGACCGAAAUUAAAUGAGAUUGGGGCCGGGUAGGGCGUUUAGUUUUGGGCUGGGUAGGUUUAGGUUGAGAUUGGGCUGGGUAUUGGGUCAAAAUUAAGGCCAAAAUUGAAAUAAAAUCAUGCCAGGUUUUUAAUACCCAUUUUUAAUUAAUAAAAUAAUUUGUAAAAUGACAAAUAAAAUAGUAAAAUAUUAUUUAUGCAUAAAAAAUGAGUAACAAUAAUUAUUCAACACUGUAAAAAUAUAAUUUUUUUUUUGCAUGAAUAUGAAAAUUAUAAGUAUAUAUGGGCUAUUAUUGCAAAUGUACAAUUCUAGCCUUUAAAAAUGCAAAUGUAUUUAUGAUAAAUAUGUUAAAGUAUUUAAAACCUAAUCUGGGUGUAAAUGAUGAAAUUAAAUGAUAAAUAAAAUAAUUUAUGAUGCAAUUAGCGAAUAUUUAUAUAGUAAAAUAUAGGAAUAAAUUGAUUUAAAACUCCUUUAAAUUAUAGAAAAUUAUGAAAAAUGUUUGUAUAUGUCUUAAAAUCAAGUGAUGAUGCAUAUGCACUAUUUUAGAAGUAUAUUUGUAUAUUUUAAAAAUGUGAGGAAAAAAUUGGGUAUCAACACUAUUUAGUGGCGUCUUUUCUGGUUGAGGAAAGUAAAGGAACUUUGAUUUUCAUUGUUUUUACUUUUCUGGAAAAGUUGUACAUUAUCAAGAGUCAAAUUAUCAAGAGAUAUUCCCCUUAAAUUUUUCUAGUCAUCAAUUUCUACCUCUUUCACUCAAAAAGUCUCAAAUUUUGUCUUUUAGUUAGUGGGAAAAGAAGUUAGAAAUUGAAUAAAUUGAUCAAAAAUGUCAAUCAUCACCUCAAUUUGAAAUACCCGGCCGACAUUCGGAAAAAUCAUAAAUAAUUGGUUGUAACUAAUGAAGGUCUAGUCAUUGAUUAACCCAAUCACUACUAGUAUUCCAGUGUUUCCACUCGGUUUGAAGGAUUUCAUAACUUACUGUUUCUUGAGCUUAAUUGGAUGGGAACUAUGAAGUAGUCUUUGUAAGCAUGUGAUUUUUGUCCUAUAUAAAGAUAACUCCUAAAAUAAGUUUAAAUAAUUUUUAUUUGAUUUUUUUUAGGAAUUUUUUUUCUUUUUUAGUUGCAUUUCAUGCAUUUUAAUAUUUCAAAAUCAAAAUAAUAAAUACCAAAAUACUUGGCAUUUGCAUUUAGAAUUUAAUUUUACAUUUUAGGAUAAAUUAAUAGUGAGUUACUUUUAGGAAAAUGAAAAUAACAAAAAUGGUCUUUUUUGCAUUUUUUUAGUUUUAAUCUGUUUAGUUUGCAUUUAAAAUAGGGANNNNNNNNNNNNNNNNNNNNNNNNNNNNNNNNNNNNNNNNNNNNNNNNNNNNNNNNNNNNNNNNNNNNNNNNNNNNNNNNNNNNNNNNNNNNNNNNNNNNNNNNNNNNNNNNNNNNNNNNNNNNNNNNNNNNNNNNNNNNNNNNNNNNNNNNNNNNNNNNNNNNNNNNNNNNNNNNNNNNNNNNNNNNNNNNNNNNNNNNNNNNNNNNNNNNNNNNNNNNNNNNNNNNNNNNNNNNNNNNNNNNNNNNNNNNNNNNNNNNNNNNNNNNNNNNNNNNNNNNNNNNNNNNNNNNNNNNNNNNNNNNNNNNNNNNNNNNNNNCCCAUCUAUAUAAUACACACACACAUAGAAACAGGGAGGAUAGUGAGCAACAACGGAUAGAGGGGAGAAGACAAAGAAAUUUUAUACAAAUGCACUGUAAUUUCCACUUCAAAAUGAGAAUUUACUCAAGAAUACUUUGAAGAGAAAAGAUCAAAGCAUAGCUUCUGAAGCAGGUCCCCACUGUGGCUCCACCUAUUUCGUCGUCAAGCACCAAAACCAAAUUCACCACCGUCGUCCUUUUGCCGGAACUGAUUCACUCACGUACGACACCAGACGGAGUCGAUUUGGCGUCUUAGUCGAGCUGAGUUUCAGUCCAAGUUCUCGCUCGUACUUGACAAGUUGUCGCGUUUUGGAUCGCCGACGAGGUUCCGGUUUGUUAAUUUCGGUGUGUCAGUCUGAGGAUUGUUGCUUGGUUUAACCCGAUUGAUUUGCAAUUUUUAGCUUUGAAGCAAUAAAGGUCCGAUUUUCUUAAUCACUCUUAUUGAUACAUUACAUGUACUUGGUGUUUAAUUUGAGUUUAUUUUACACUUGUAGCCUAAAGUGACAUGUUGUACAAUUGUUGGAAUUAUUCAUCUGUUUGUUGGAAUUUUUGUCGAUGAAUAUCUUAUUUGUUCUUUGGAAAUCAUAUCUAAUAUACAAUCAACUGAAUGUUGAAGUAAUUGUAAGUAAACGGAAUUUUCAUUAUACUUUACGUAUUUUGAAACUACAAUAUAUAUUAUUAGUUGUUGUUCUUCUCCAUUUUGAAAUGUUACGAGUUGUCUUAGAAAUUGUGCUCAAAAUUGUAGUAGAAUUCCAAAAGUUGUCAAAUGACAGUAUUAAAGGAGCAAAUUUGGCUUCAAAUGUUUAGUUUGAAUGUUAUAAAUACUUGUUGCUUCCGGUCAAAUAUAUUGAUUAAUCCUCAAUGUAUUUUCAAUUUCUUAAUAACUAAAGGUGAUAAUUUAGUUAGUUUUAUUAUUAAUAUUAGUGCUAAGAUCUGUUGCUCCUAGUCACGUGAGCUUUGUUUUUAUCUAAGGUUAUUAAUGUGUUUGGUUGAUGAUAAUCCUUCAGCGUAUUUAACUCCUUCAUUCAUGUCAUUCACUGUUUGUCCGCUCCCUUAUGGCUUAGGAGAUGAAGAACAUAUGAACAUCGUAGCCUGCUUUAGGCGCGAUUAAUUUUAAAUUAUUGUGGUCAUGGGUACGGUUCCCGUGGCAUGGUCAUGAUACGUAAAUCUCAAUCGAGGCGUGCCAUUAGUUGAAUUUCCAUGGCCCUCGCAAAUUUGGAAGUGCGUAGUUGCUUUAGGAGUNNNNNNNNNNNNNNNNNNNNNNNNNNNNNNNNNNNNNNNNNNNNNNNNNNNNNNNNNNNNNNNNNNNNNNNNNNNNNNNNNNNNNNNNNNNNNNNNNNNNNNNNNNNNNNNNNNNNNNNNNNNNNNNNNNNNNNNNNNNNNNNNNNNNNNNNNNNNNNNNNNNNNNNNNNNNNNNNNNNNNNNNNNNNNNNNNNNNNNNNNNNNNNNNNNNNNNNNNNNNNNNNNNNNNNNNNNNNNNNNNNNNNNNNNNNNNNNNNNNNNNNNNNNNNNNNNNNNNNNNNNNNNNNNNNNNNNNNNNNNNNNNNNNNNNNNNNNNNNNNNNNNNNNNNNNNNNNNNNNNNNNNNNNNNNNNNNNNNNNNNNNNNNNNNNNNNNNNNNNNNNNNNNNNNNNNNNNNNNNNNNNNNNNNNNNNNNNNNNNNNNNNNNNNNNNNNNNNNNNNNNNNNNNNNNNNNNNNNNNNNNNNNNNNNNNNNNNNNNNNNNGCUAUUAAAAAUUAUUUUCUUAAAUUCGGGUGCGCAUUGAUGCGACCCAAAUCCAAAUCUCGAUGAAGUCGAAAUGUGUUGACAAUCACGGGCGAUUGAUUGCGACGGGGUUCGAAACGCGUUUUCACGACAUCGUAAUUCUUAUAAAAUAAAUAAUGAUAGAAAAGAGGUUCACAAAUUGAGACAAGCCUCACCGAACAAAAAUAAAUAAAUGUGGGGCUCUCAAUAAAUGGUUAUUAAAAAUGAUUAGAAUUUGGGAGCGCCAUUUAGCGAACUUCACGGCCUUCCCCAAAAUAAUAUUACGUUAGAAUCUUUAGGCGCGAUUUUAAUUAAAUUACCUUCUUAAACUCGGGUGCGCAUUGAUGCGACCCAAAUCCAAAUCUCGACGAAGUCGAAAUGUGUUGACAACCACAGGUGCAUUGAUUGCGACGCGGUUCGAAACACGUUUUCACGUCGUCGCAAUUCUUUUAAAAUAAAUAAUGAUAAAAAGCGGUUUACGAAUAAAAGGCACAUAAGCUAGCAGGUAUUAAAAUCAGAUAAAAUCAAAUGCAACAGUUAAGCGACCGUGCUAGAACCACGGAACUCGGGAAUGCCUAACACCUUCUCCCGGGUUAACAAAAUUCCUUACUCGAAUUUUUGGUUCGCAGACUGUAACAGAGUCAUGUUUUUCCUCGAUUUGUGAUUCAACCGGUGACUUGAGACACCAUUAAUCUCCCAAGUGGCGACUCUGAAAUCUCAAUAAUAAAUCCCGUUCCGAUUGUCCUUUAAAUGGAAAAACUCCUUUACGCCCUCCUCCGGGAAUGUAGUAAAAAAGGAGGUGUGACAGUCUUCUUUAGAUUUGAGAUAGAAUCCAUUUUUUUUACUGAAUGUAUUUUUUACAUCUUUUCCAAUUGAUCAUUUGCUGGCGUCUAAUAAUGUGGUCUCUCUUAUAAGUUGGAAAUUCUAGUCAUACUUUAGAACGACAACAGAAUACAAAAUCAUGCAGUGAGAUAAACAUGAGAGAGACGCGCGUGUCCAAGUUUGAUUUUCAUUGUUUUUACUUUUCUAGAAAAGUUUGUAAAUGCUUUCGUUAGAAUUAUUUUGUUAGUUUUUGCUUUUUUCUUUGUUUUUUUAAGUUAUGGAAUUUGUAAGUUGAUGUUGUAAUAGAAUAAAUUUUUUAGGAGUGGUUAAUCCUGUCUGAUAAUUUCUUCUUUAAUGGUACCCAAUUUCACUUGCGAAAUCACAAGUUAUUUUGUUGGAUUCUACUGUAUACUUAUAAUAUUAAAGAUGUUAAUAAUGUACGUUUUAUUAUAGUUAUUAAUUGGUGUCUCGGGUUGAGCCUGAGUGUAACGAUCCGACCGGUCGUUUUGGGCUUUUGCACUUCGCUUGUCAGUUUUCGGGCACGACUUGCCCCGUGUGAUAUACUAUGACUUAUGUGAAUCGUUGGUUUUGGUUUUUAGGGUAAUCGGAAUGAAUUUCGAAGAAACAGUUCUCAGUUUGAAGCUUGAAAUUUGAAAGGUUUGACCAAGUUUUGACUUGUUUGUAUAUAAUCUCGGAUUGGAAUUUUUAUGAUUUGGUUAGCUCCGUUAGAUGAUUUGGGACUUAGGAUCGUGAUCGAAAUGCAUUUUGGAGGUCCGUGGAAGGUUUAUGCUUGAAUUAGCGAAAUUAAGAUUUUGGCGUUUUCUAAUUGAUAGGUGAGAUUUUGGAAUAGGGGUCGGAAUGGAAUUCCGAAAGUUGCAGUAGUUCCAUUGUAUCAUUUGGGAUGUGUGCGCAAAAUUUUGGGUCAUUCGGACGUGGAUUGGUUGGAUUUUUGAUCAAAAGCGUAAUUUAGAAGUUCUUGGAGUUCUUAGGCUUGAAUCUGAUGCAAAUUUGGUGUUUUGAUGUUGUUUUGAGCGUUCCGAAGGUUGGAACAAGUUUGAAUGAUGUUAUGGGAUAUGUUGGAAUGUUUGGUUGAGGUCCCGAGGGCCUCGGGGGAGUUUCGGGUAAUUAAACGAAUCAAGUUCAUGUUUGAAAAGUUGCAGAUUUUUAGGUUUCAGUUGCAGGCAUUUUUGUUCAUUGCGAUCGCGUACGAGGGUUUGAGAUCGUGUAGGCUCAGUUGGGCAGGGUGAAAAAUUGUUCUAUGCAAUCGCAGAAGAAAGGUCGCGAUCGUAGUCAGUGGAGAGAUUGUGAUUUGCGAACGCGAGGGCCAGGAUGCGUUCGCGUAGAAGAAAUAAGGUGGCAGAAGAAUCAGGUGUUACCCUUCGCGUAGGGGCAGUCGCGAUCGCGUAGCUCAGAGGAAUCAAUGUAUCGUGUUCGCAUGUUGGUUAACGCGGUCGUGUAGAGGAAUAUAUCGAGGCAACAAGAUUGUUCUUCGCGAUCGCGAGGAUGUUUCCGCGAUCGCGAUUAAGGAAAAAUCUGGGCAGACAGAUUAUAUUUUUAAAAUCGAGGGUUUGAGUCCAAUAUCAUAAAAGCCAUUGGAGAGCUCAAGAGAAGGUACAAUUUGAUGGGAUUUUCAGUGGAGCAAUUGGGGUAAGUAUUCUUCACUUAUAUUUGAUUUAAUUCCAUGAUUUAGUCUUGAAUUUCAUCAUUUAAUUUGAGAAAUUAGAGUGAAAAUUGGGGAAAAAUGGAAGAAGAGUUUGAGAAUUCUUUUGGGGAUUUAAAUGGGCAAUUGAGGUUGGAUUUUAAUGAAUUUUAUAUGGGUAGACUCGUGAGUGAAUGAGGAUUUUAUUUAUGUAAUUUUUAUCGGACUCUGAGACGUGGGCCUGGGGCUGGGUUUGAGCAAUUUCAGAAUUUUUUUUAUGUAAAUUGGAUAUUUUCGAGUAGGCUUUGUUCCCUUAGCAUAUUUUAAUGGUUAUGUACUGAUUUUUGGCUAGAUUUGGAGCAUCCGGAGGUCGAUUCGUGCAGGCAAGGGCAUCGCAGGCUAGAGUUUGGACCGGAUCGAGGUAAGUAAUGAUUGUAAAUGCUGUCCUGAGGUUUGAAACCCUGGAUUUCACAUCGUUGUGCUACUUUGAGGUGACACACAAGCUAGAUGACGCGUGUGGAGUCGUGCACCGUUAGGGAUUGUGACUUUGUCCGUCCCGUACGACUGUUAAGUCGCGUAUUUGCUUUGAAAUCUUGUGAUAUUCCAUAUUUUAGAGAUUGAUAUUAUAUUUUGGGUUGUAUGCCAUGUUUGGGGCCUUGUGCCGACCUGUUGAGGCCUUUAGGGGCAUUUUCACUAUUUUUCCUCACUCUAUUUGUUUUGAAAGCAUAUCCUCAACCAUAUUUUACCUAUUUAUUGUCUAAAUCUUGUUUUAUCAAUUUACUUCUUAAAAUGUGUAAACUGUUUGGGCUGAGUUCCCUAUUUUACUGAUGGUCCGAGUGAUUGUGAGGUUGAUGACUGAGAUAGACCGAGGUUCUGAUUGUGAGGUUGAUGACUGAGAUAGAUCGAGGGUUUGAUUGUGAGGUUAAUGCCUGAGAGGGGUCGACGGCCUGGUUGUGAGGAUUAUAUAUUAAUGGAUCGGGCUGGUGCAGCCCCAUAUAUAUAUAUAUAUAUAUAUAUGGGCUGCACGCAACAACAAUAUAUGGAUCGGGCUGCACGCUACAACGAUAUGAUGGAUCGGGCUGCACGCCGCAACGAUAUAACGCUUGGGCUGUAGGAGCCCCUCCGGAGUCUGCACACCCCCAAUGAGCGCAGUCGACUAUAUAUAUGGAUCGGGCUGCACGCCGCAACGAUAUAUUUAUCGGACUGCACGCCGCAGCGGUUACUAUAUGGUACCUAUUGAGUGUGAGUGCUGAAUGUGAGCGCUAAUUGGUAAGAGUUGAGUCACGAGUGACUGGGAGGCUUGCCCGAGGGGCUAGGUAUAUACAUGUACAUGAGUGAUGUUUGCCUGAGGGGCCAGUUUAUGAACUUACUGUGUUUCACUCCUCUUUAAAGUGAGUUUCUAUUGAACAUGUUGAUUUAAUUACUACUUUUACUCAUCUUUAGACCUAACCUCUAUUGAAAAUGUUGAACAAAUGUUUUAAAUGACUUUCAUUUAAACUGAUAUUUUAAGUUAUGAAAUGGUUGUGAAUUUCUGUUAUGCAUAGGGGUUGUAUACGAACUAUGCUUUGCCCGAGGGGCAGAUCAUGAUUUUCAUUAAUAUAUAUAUAUANNNNNNNNNNNNNNNNNNNNNNNNNNNNNNNNNNNNNNNNNNNNNNNNNNNNNNNNNNNNNNNNNNNNNNNNNNNNNNNNNNNNNNNNNNNNNNNNNNNNNNNNNNNNNNNNNNNNNNNNNNNNNNNNNNNNNNNNNNNNNNNNNNNNCCCUCUGUGGUGCCAUGAUGUGGUAUACGUGAUUUCUUACUGCUCAGACUUUGUUUACUUUUAUUAUUUACUGGGUUGGAGUACUCACAUUACUCCUUGCACGUUGUAUGCAGAUUCAGGUAUUUCUGAGCUUGGCGGCAGUUUCAUCGGAGAUAGCAAGGUAGCUGCCUGGCGAUCACGGCUCUGCUUUCUCCCUCUUUAUUCUUCCUUAUGUAUUCUUGUGACUUUUCCUGACCCUAUUGGUCUUGAUGUGGUUAAACAACUGUAGUAGAUGCUUAUGACUAGUGACACCCCGAUGUAGGGCUUGUAUGUUAUUUCCGCACUGUUCAUUUAGACUUAUAUUAUGAAACAUUUGUUUAAUUAAAGGCUUAAAAAUGACUCUUAGUGAUUAAAGGGUUAAUAUGGGUGUUGUUUCGGCUAGCAUUGUCUUCACGAGAGGCGCCAUCAUGACCAGGCCAAUUUGGGGUCGUGACAAGUUGGUAUUAGAGCCUAGGUUACAUAGGUCUCACGAGUCAUGAGCAGGUUUAAUAGAGUCUCGCAGAUCGGUACGGAGACAUCUGUACUUAUCCUUGGGAGGCUGCAGAACCUUUAGGAAAAACUUCACAUUCUUGAAUUCUUAUCGUGCAUCCUUGAUUCAGCUUGGAGUGUAACCCUUUGAUUUCCUUCCACGCAUUCAUAUGCGCGCAUGAGCGCUCAGUAUCAGAUGUGCGUCGAUGGCUUGUGAUUCCCCGAUCGAGGGGCGAGAUGUGAUUUGUCUGUGCGUUGAUGUUGGGGCCAGUCCGGAGGACUUGAGGCUAGGUUUUGCCUGCAGCUUGAGCACCAAGGUGCUGCUUGUGUGAGCAAGUGUUUUUGAACUUAUACGUUCGGUAGUGCCCCUAUUAGUAGAAGUGAUGGCUGCAUGUCUAUGUGAUGAGUAUGUUAUGACUGCGAGAUGUAUCUAUAUGAUUUGGAAGCAACAAGAAGGGUCUACUGGAGGAUAGAAGAACUAUUAGGUGCUUGAUUUCCAUCUUGAUUUAAGGUAUAGUCCCGAGUUAUGGGUGUGUGCAGAAUCUUUUCAUGUUUUCUAGUUGGGGGAGUAAAGUGGAUUUCAUGUUGUGCUGUGAGUUCAGACUCAGGAAGAUUAAGUGACUGCGUAAUAUCUAUGACGGUGGAAGGGUACAAAGAGAUGUUAGUUGAGGCGACGCAGGUGGGUUAUCUCCUGCGGAUUGUUCUGAAGUUUGCAUAAUCCCUUAUGUCAUUUAUUGAAAGAUCUCUGUUACCAGGGAAAUAUAUGUGUUACAAUUCGAAUUUGGGUUGCUCAAGAGAGUAGGCUUUUCUGCUACGAGAGUGAAUACGAGAUUUGCAGAAGAUUUAAAGUACCAGAUGGUCUGUGUUUCACGAGUUUAUGAAGGAUUGAGUUUAAUCUCACUAUGGUAUUAUGGCAGCAAUAAAGUAUAUGUGUUAUGAGUUAUUGUGUGUGUUUUGGUUUAUGGCUUCGAGCCAAGUGGGGAGUCCGCUAUUAAUUAGUUGAUUGCACAGUUAUGUGCUAUGUUGGUUCUAGUUUGAGGCGUGCAGGUGAAUCAGUUAUGGCUUACGAAGAUUGAGACCGAGGAUGGCUCGAGUACAGGAAAAUGUUGACAAAGGUUAUGUCAUGAUUCAUAAGUGUAUGAGAAUCACAGAGUGUCUUGAGUGGUUAUUGGUGAAGGAUGCUCGGGGCAUGGGGCAGGAAGUUGCUUGGCUGCAUUAAGGUGAGGUUACAUUCUGCGGUGUCGGAGUGCUAAUGAGGCACAAGUGGCUCGGUUCAUUUGAUCAGACUAAUUGCAGUUUGAGUAGAGUGGAUGACUCUAGAAAAUGGUUCUAAUGUGUUUAAGAUUUUACCUGUAAUAAUUGGAGAUCUUCAAGUUGUACUUUUGGCUAGAAACCGAGGUUUGCAUUUGGAGGGUGUCAAGAUUUGUGGUAUUUUGAUAUCAAUUAGGGAAUUUUAUAUACAUCAGCAUUAGGAAGAUAAAUGUAAUAGAUUUAGAUUCGCAUGAAGUCUCUUCAGAGUAGAGUAUUUCGAAUAUUUUGCUUUGAGGAUAUUUAAGAGGGUAUUUAGCGGGUUAUGAGCCUUAGACGGUGUGGUUUUAUGCUUGGGUCUCGUGUGAUAAGUCUGGAUUGAGGAAUGGUGAUGUUGUAGCAAGAAUGAGUAUCAAGUUGAAGGUAAAUCAGAAUGAAACUCGGAUAGAUGAGAUAGCUUGGUAGUAGGCCGAGUCGGUUUGGUAAGGAUAUGAUUAGUUCUUUGGAUGCUUAUGAGGUAAUGAGUUUUUACAGGUGUUUCACGACAAUUCUCUUGGGUUUUAGUGACCUACGUAUCUCGGUUGAGUUAGAAGGAUUUAAUCCUGACGAUUUAGUUUUGUGCAAAUGGAAUUCGGAGAGUUCUAGAUGGUUUCCACCAUAGUUAGAGAGGUAUAUAUUUCCUAUUGGCGUGAGGAGCAUGGGAUGUAUAGUGAUUUUCUUCUAGAUGGGAUCAAUAGGAAGUUCUUGGCUAGUAGAGUACAUAGUUGCUUGUGGAUUGGAAGAGAUAUGAAGUUGUCGUGGUUAUCUUAGGAUGGUACAAUUUAUGCGGUAUGUUGUGUAGGAUUGAGAUUUGCAUGAGUAAGGUCACGAUUCAGAUUUGAAAUGAAGGUCACAAAUUCUUAGAUAGCAUGGGUAGCUUCAGGUGACUGGAUAAAUGAGAUCACUAAUUGGUGUGGCUUGAUGACAGUAUAACAUUUCAGAAAGGGCAAUAUGUUUGAUUUAUGGAUGCUUUAUCGGUAUUGCGGCACUAUCUUGUUUGAUCGACUGAUGAUAUUCGAGUUUGCUUGGUGGCUCAGAAGAAUUAUAGGUAUACCUCUCAUGGGAUGAUUGAGUAUUAGAGGUGUGUUGUAUAUUCGAGCGGCGAAAUUAGGAUCAGAUAUGGUAAUUCAUGUGCUUUAUGGACUUGGAGACUGAAAGUUCUCAUAAACAAGUUAGCUUGUAGUUGUGGACAGUAAAGAUGUGGGUAAGUUAGUCAGAUGAUAGUAUGUGCUAUGAUUCAGUCAUUGUGAACCUUCAGAGGGUUAUUUAUCUGUUGUGGGUGACUAAAGUUGAUGUGUGGUUCAUUGGUAGACCUAUAUGCAUGGGUGUUCUGCAUCGAGAUGGCUUUGUUGACUUCGAGCUGCUAUUGGUGAGGGAUGUGUUGAUUCGGUAGUUAUUGAGCUAUUAGUAAUCAGGGGAUCUAUGAGUUAUAUUUUCGUGUUGCAAAAUAUUAGGAUUUGUUGGUUAUAGGCACAUGUGGUGCGGUGUUAUUGGGGCCUCUCAGUGGAAUUCGAGCGGGAAGAGUACUAGGCAUUGCUCGGUGGAUGGCGUAUCGGUUAUGUCCUUUCGAGUUGUGUGAAGUUAUGUAAUUGCUUCGCUGUGGUUAUGAGGAUUGCUUUGGUUUUAGACAUCAUAUUGCGCACGAUUAUCGAUUUUGAGCGUAGUGACUUAAGGUUUUUCAUGUGGACUAGUGUUUGGAAGAGGUCGCGCAUUGGAGCGAAGCUAUGUGGAGGUAUGAUCCUGCAGGUUAGAUUUGUGUGUUCUGUUUCUACGAUGUGUGACGGGUUCUCAGCCUGGUGUUGUGGCGGUACUGGUGGGCUUGCGGUACAACUCUUUCAUUUGAGUCAUUUUCAUGAUUUGAGUAUGUUCGGAUUGUUGCCUAUCGGUGUGCAGAUUGUACGAGUUGUGGCUUUAGAUGGUAUUAAUGUGUCAGGCCACCAGAGUAGUUGUGUUGAAUUAGAUAUGAUCGUCGGGAUGUAGAAUGAAUACAAACGGAUUCGAUUUCAGUAUGUUGGAAGGAUAAUAUCAAGGUUAGGCUCAGAAAUUUGCUAUGGUCUUCGCCAAAGGAGAAGUGGCUUCAUGAAUGGUAGAUCUGAGAAUUGGUUAUGACUUACUGCGUAUUUCGUUUAUCAUUGGCAGUAUAUGAAGGUGUUAGAAUGAGACUUUAGUUGAUAAGAGGUUUUCUAUUGAUAUUCGGUUGUUGUGUGCAGCUGCCGUGAUUAGAAGUUAUCACUACAAGUGUUUGAGUUAUGUGGUAUAUCAUAUAAUUGCACCUAAGAUUGUGGGUAUGGGUUGUUACAGCUUGUUCGGGCUUAUUCAGAGUAUAGAUGUGAGAUUUCGAUCUUGUGGAUGAUUUUAGAAGUGGAAAUGUAGUUCUAAGGUUCAUGGGCUAGGUUGGAUUGUGAGAUUUCAGUUACAUUGUGUAACGGACCUAUAUGAGAUAAGGUGACAUGGGAUUACCCCCGGGUAUGUGCAUGGUAAGGUUAUUCAGUGAUGGGUUGGUUCUUGAAACAACUCUGGGCACGUUCGAGGACGAACGUAUGUUUAAAUGGGGAAGGACGUAACGACCUGACCGGUCGUUUUGAGCUUUUGCACUUUGCUCGCCAGCUCUCGGGCAUGACUUGCCCCGUGUGAUAUACUAUGACUUAUGUGAAUCGUUGGUUUUGAUUUCCAGGGUAAUCAGAAUGAAUUUGGAAGAAAUAGUUCUCAGUUUGAAGCUUGAAAUUUGAAAGGUUUGACCAAGUUUUGAGUUGUUUGUAUAUGAUUCGGAUUGGAAUUUUUAUGAUUUGAUUAGCUCCGUUAGAUGAUUUGGGAAUUAGGAGAGUGAUCAGAAUGCAUUUUGGAGGUCCGUGGAAGGUUUAGGCUUGAAUUGGCGAAAUUAAGAUUUGGCGUUUUCCGAUUGAUAGGUAAGAUUUUGAAAUAAGGGUCGGAAUAGAAUUCUGGAAGUUACAGUAGUUCCGUUGUAUCAUUUGGGAUGUGUUUGCAAAAUUUCAGGUCAUUCGGACAUGGUUUGGUUGGUUUUUUUUAUCAAAAGCGUAAUUUGGAAGUUCUUGGAGUUCUUAGGCUUGUAUCCGAUGCAUAUUUGGUGUUUUGAUAUUGUUUUGAGCAUUCCGAAGGUUGGAACAAGUUUGAAUGAUGUUAUGGGAUUUGUUGGAAUGUUUGGUUGAGGUCCCGAGGGCCUCGGGAGAGUUUCGGCUGGUUAAACGAAUCAAGUUCAUGUUUGAAAAGUUGCAGAUUUUCUGGUUUCAGUUGCAGGCAUUUUUGUUUAUUGCGAUCACGUAUGAGGGUUCGCGGUCGCAUAGGCUCAGUUGGGCAGGGUGAAGAAUUGUUCUAUGCAAACGCAGAAGAAAGGUCGCGAUCGCGGCCAGUGGAGAGAUUGUGAUUUGCGAACGCGAGGGCCAGGACGCGUUCUCGUAGAAGAAAAUAAGGUGGCAGAAGAAUCAAGUGUUACCCUUUGCGUUCGCGUAGGGGCAGUCACGAUCGCUUAGCUCAAAGGAAUCAAUGUAUCGUGGUCGUAUGUUGGUUAACGCGGUCGCGUAGAGUAAUAUAUUGAGGCAGCAAAAUUGUUCUUCGCAAUCGCGAGGAUGUUUUCGGGAUCGCGAUUAAAGAAAAAUUUGGGCAGACAAAUUAUAUUUUUAAAAUCGAGGGUUUGUGUCCAAUAUCAUAAAAGCCAUUGGAGAGCUCAGGAGAAGGUGCAAUUUGAUGGGAUUUUUAGUGGAGCAAUUGGAGUAAGUAUUCUUCACUCAUAUUUGAUUUAAUUCCAUGAUUUAGUCUUGAAUUUCAUCAUUUAAUUUGAGAAAUUAGAGUGGAACUUGGGAAAAUAUGGAAGAAGAGUUCGAGAAUUCUUUUGGGGAUUUGAAUGGGCAAUUGAGGUCGGAUUUUAAUGAAUUUGAUAUGGGUAGACUCGUGAGUUAACGAGAAUUUUAUUGAUGUGAUUUUUAUCGGAUUCCGAGACGUGAGCCCGAGAGCCGGGUUUGAGCAAUUUCAGGAUUUUUAAUGUAAAUUAGAUAUUUUCGAGUGGGUCCCUUAGCAUAUUUUAAUAGUUAUGUACUGAUUGUGGCUAGAUUUAGAGCAUUCGGAGGUCGAUUUGUGCCAGAAAGGGCAUCGUGGGCUAGAGUUUGGACCGGAUCGAGGUAAGUAAUGAUUGUAAAUACUGUCCUGAGGGUUUGAAACCCUGGAUUUCACAUCGUUGUACUACUUUGAGGUGACGCACACGCUAGAUGACGAGCGUGGAGUUGUGCACCGUUAGGGAUUGUGACUUGGUCCGUCCCGUACGACUAUUAAGUCGCGUAUUUGAUUUGAAAUCUUGUGAUAUUCCAUAUUUUAGAGAUUAAUAUUAUAUUUUGGGUUGUAUGCCAUGUUUGGGGCCUUGUGCCGAUCUGUUGAGAACUUUAGGGGCAUUUUCACUAUUUUUCCUCACUCUAUUUGUUUUGAAAGCAUAUCCGCAGUCAUGUUUUACCUGUUUAUUGUCUAGAUCUGGUUUUAUCACUUUAUUUCUUAAAAUGUGAAAACCGUUUGGGCUGCGUUCCCUGUUUUACUGAUGGUCCGAGUGAUUGUGAGGUUGAUGAUUGAGAUAGACCGAGGGUCUGAUUGUGAGGUUGAUGACUGAGAUAGACCGAGAGUCUGAUUGUGAGGUUAAUGACUGAGAGGGGUUGAGGGCCUGGUUGUGAGGAUUAUAUAUUUAUGGAUCGGGCUGCACGCCACAACAAUAUAUAUAUAUAUGGAUCGGGCUAUACGCCGCAGCGGUUACUAUAUGGUACCUAUUAAGGGUGAGCGCUGAGUGUGAGCGCUGAUUGGUAAGAGUUGAGUCACGAGUGACUAGGAGGCUUGCCCAAGGGGCUAAGUAUAUACAUGUACAUGAGUGAUGCUUUACCUGAGGGGCCAGUUUAUGAACUUACUAUUUUUCGCUCCUCUUUAAAUUGAGUUUCUAUUGCACAUGUUGAUUUAAUUACUGCUUUCACUCAUCUUUAGACCGAGUCUCUAUUGAAAAUGUUGAACAAAUGUUUUAAAUGACUUUCAUUUAAACUGAAGUUUUAAGUUAUGAAAUGGUUGUGAAUUUCUGUUAUGCCGAGGGGCUGUAUACGAACUAUGCUUUGCCCGAGGGGCCGAUCAUGAUUUUCAUCACUUUCACUAUAUAUAUAUUUCAUUAAAACUCUAUGGGAAAGGUUAGAAAGAUAUUUUCCAAAGGAUUUUACUAAAGAUGGAAGUUUAACGAAGUGAUUUGAUUUGUAUCCUGUUUUUGGAAACAUGCGGUACCCUCUGUGGUUCCAUGAUGUGAUAUACGUGAUUUCUUACUGCUCAGACUUUAUUUACUUUUAUUACUUACUGGAUUGGAGUACUCUCAUUACUCCCUGCACCUUAUGUGCAGAUUCGGGUAUUUCUGAGCUUGGUGGCAGUUUCUUCGGAGUUAGCAAGAUAGCUGUCUGGCGAUUGCAGCUCUGCUUUCUCCCUCUUUAUUCUUCCUUAUGUAUUCUUGUGACUUUUCCCGACCAUAUUGGUCUUGAUGUGGUUAGACAUCUGUAGUAGAUGCUCAUGACUAGUGACACCCUGAUGUAGGACGUGUAUGUUAUUUUUGCAUUGUUCAUUUAGACUUAUAUUAUGAAAUAUUUGUUUAAUUAAAGGCUUAAAAAUGACUCUUAAUGAUUAAAGGGUUAAUAUGGGUGUUGUGUCGGUUAGCCUCGUCUUCACGAGAGGCGCCAUCACGACCAGGCCGGUUUGGGGUCGUGACAUUGAAUAUGAAGUUCGGGAGUAAAUCUGCAUAAUCUUGAAGAGGUUAAUAAUGUGCAUUUUUUAGUUUUUAAUUAGUGUUUGUUCUUGCAUUGUGGCCCUAUUAAAUUGCAUUUGCGCUAUUAAUUGCAGCGAGAGAAAGUUAAAUAUAUAGUUUUAUAUUUCGUAUUUUAUAUUUCAUUGUAGGUAAGUAUAUGAUGGAUAAGAAUUGGGUACUUAUUAACAGUAGGACAUUACCGGAAUACUUGAAUGAUGUGGAAUAUUUUUUGAACUUUGUAUUUUCUAAUCCUGAGGUUGGUGUAAGAAUCCAGUGUCCGUGCAUUAAAUGUAAUAAUGUGCUUAGAAAAUCAUGCGAUGAGGCUUAGGUGGGGAAUAGAUCCAACCUAUAAUAGGUGAAUUUAUCAUUGCGAGGCAGAUUUAUCUUCAGAUGAUGAAUAAAUUCUGAUACAGAUUCAAAUUUAGGGAAUGAUGAUGCUCACACUUUUGAAAUGUUGCAUGACAUGUAUCAUGGUAUUCCCUCUAAUAGUCAUGAGUUUGAUGAGACCACUGAGUCUAGGUAUGAAGAGCCAAAUAUAGAAGCUAAAAGUUUUUAUAGGUUACUAAAGGAUGCAGAGCAAAAGUUGUAUCCAGAUUGUGAAAAGUUCUCCAAACUCUCAUUUGUAAUGCGUCUUUUUCAGAUGAAGUGCCUACAUGGCUGGAGUAAUACUUCUUUUGACUCUUUAUUGAAAUUAUUGAGUGAAGCUUUUCCCAAAGAAAAUGUGCUCCCUAAUUCUAUCUAUGAAGUUCAAAAGAUCAUAAAAGAUUUGGGUCUAGAUUAUGUGAAGAUAGAUGCAUGUGUUAAUAAUUAUAUUUUAUAUAGAAAGGAAUAUGCUGAUCUUGAGCAAUGCCCUAAAUGUAAUGAAAAAAGAUGGAUAGUAAGGAAGAGAGGAGAUAUUGAUGAUGAAGUUGCUUCAAGAAAAUUGAAUAAGAGAAAUAAAAGAAUUCCUAGAAAGAUUCUUAGAUACUUUCCUUUGAUGCCAAGAUUAAAACGAUUAUUUAUGACAAAACAAAUUGGAGAAAAUAUGCGAUGGAAUAAAAAUAAGAGAGUUGGUGAUGGAGUAUUACGGCAUCCAGCUGACUCAUUGGCAUGGAAAACGUUUGAUGAAAAGCAUUCAAGUUUUGCUUUAGGUCCACGUAAUGUAAGACUUGGACUUGCUUCAGAUGGUUUUAAUCCUUUUGGUUCGAUGAGUAAUGCCUAUAGCAUGUGGCCAGUAGUUUUAAUUCUAUAUAAUCUCCCCCCGUGGCUAUGCAUAAAACAAUCUAAUAUUUUAUUAUCCUUGCUUAUUCCUGGACCAAAAAGUCCUGGUAUGAAUAUUGACGUGUACCUCCAACCCUUGAUUAAUGAUUUAAAAACCUUACGGGAGAGUGGAAUUAAGACUCAUGAUGCUUUUAAGAAACAAAAUUUCUACUUGCAUGCUGCUUUGUUGUGGACGAUUAAUGACUUUCCAGCUUAUGGUAUAUUAUCCGGUUGGAACACUAAAGGUAAAUUAGCUUGUCCAGUUUUUCAUGUACAUACUUGUUCUAUUUACUUGAACCAUGGUAGAAAAUAUUGCUAUAUGGGUAAUCGUAGGUUCCUGGAUAUAAAUCAUCCUUAUCGCCGUAAUAAAAGUUCUUUUGCUAAUACAAAGAAAGAAAGACUUGCACCACAAGCUUUGAGUGGAGAUGAUAUUCUUGCACAACUUAAUACAUCUUCACAAGGGUUUGUUGGUGGUAGCACAAAAAAAAAAGAUGCCGAAAGAUGUGACAAUUGGAAGAACAACAGUAUAUUUUUUGAACUCCCAUAUUGGAGGACUUUGUUGUUGAGACAUAAUUUGGAUGUAAUGCAUAUUGAAAAGAACAUUAAUGAAAGUGUGAUAGGAACUUUGUUGGACAUUGAAGGGAAAACAAAGGAUACAUUGAAAUCUCGAUUGGACAUACAAGAGAUGAAAAUCAUAAAGCCCCUUCAUCCAAUAAAAAGUGGGGAUAAGUACAUACUUUCUCCGGCAAGCUAUACAAUGUCUAAGGCUGAGAAGAUUUAAUUUUGUCAACUCGUCAAAGAAGUCAAGUUUCCUGAUGCUUAUGCUUCUAACAUUGGUCGUUGUAUCAAUGUUAAUGAAGCUAGAAUAUUUGGACUUAAAAGUCAUGAUCACCAUAUCCUUUUUCAACGUAUUGUUCCACUUGUCAUCAAAGGAAUUUUGCCAAAGGAUGCAUAUGAUCCCUUAAUUGAAUAGUCAUUAUUCUUUAGUGAUUUGUGCGCCAAAGAACUUCAUGUGGAGAGGUUAGAGAAACUAAAUAAAAGUAUACGGAUGACAAUUUGUAAAUUAGAACGUGUGUUCCUGCCAAUGUUCUUUGAUGUUAUGAUUCAUUUGGCAAAUGAGGCAAUAGUGGGUAGUCCUAUUCAAUAUCAAUGGAUGUAUUACAUUGAAAGGUUAGAUUUUUACUUAUUUGAAUUGUUCUUUUAGAAGAAAUUUGUUAUAAAACUGAUUUAUCUUUACUUAAUAGAUAUCUGUGCAUGUUAAAAGGUUAUGUACGGGCAACCAAGCUCGUCCUAAAGGAUCAAUUGCUAAGGGCUGUCUUGCGGAGGAAUGCAUGAUAUUUUGUUCUAAAUAUUUGACUGAUAUGGAGACAAAGCAAAAUCGUGCGGAUAGAAAUUUUGAUUCUCCAAACAUAAAUCCCAAUGGCUUGUCCAUAUUUAAUUGUCAUGGAAAGUCAUUAGCAGAGGGUGAUUGGAAAAGUUUGAGUAAUCUUGAAAUCAACCAAGCUCAUUUUUAUAUCCUCCAAAAUUGUGAGAAAGUCAGACCUUGGAUUGAGUAAGAUAACUUUUUAUUUAAUUGCAUCCUUUUCUUCUUAUGAAUAUCUUUAAUGACUAUGAUGUAAUAUUCUUUAUUUUUUUCUAAUCCUCCAAUCCAUAGAGAACAUCUAGAUAUAUUAGCAAAGGAAAAUAAUAAAAAUGUAGCCAAGAGGCACAAGGAGGAAUUUCCUUUUUGGUUUGAAGAAAAGGCAAACUAUAUCAUUUGAUGCUAGUUUAUCUUCAUUUAGGAUAAUUUUUGAAUUUACUUUCAUAAAGAGUAUUAAAGUUUUUGACUUUGUACACAAAAUAUUAUAGGUGAUCCAGUUAAAAAAGAAUGGUGAUGGUCAAGUUACCAAUGAAUUGCUAGCUUUGGCAAGACUUCCGGAUAAUCGUGUUUAUUGCCAUAAAGGAUAUAUCUUAAAUGGUUUUAGGUUUCGAACAUUGGAAUCUGAGCUACAUUUGAAAACUCAAAAUAGUGGUGUAGUUGUAAAGAGUGGCGAGCAUAUAGAAAAUAUUGAUUAUUAGGAAAGAUAAGAGAGAUUUUAGAGAUCCAAUAUAUGGGUAAUUCAGUCAUAUUAUUCCAGUGUGACUGGUUUGAAGUCCCUCUCCAAGGUCAAAGUCUAAGCAGAGGCUACAAAAAGGAUGAAUAUGGAUUCAUACGUGUAGAUGUGACGCGACUCCACUACACAAAUGAUCCACUCAUUUUAGGGUCGCAGGCUCAAUCUGUAUAUUAUGUUAAACAUGGUCAAAGUGAGAAAUGACAUGUAGUGAUAAAGGUAAGACCACGAAAUUUGUAUGAUAUUCCCGAACAAGAAGAUGAAAUGGAGCCAUAUCAAUUAAUUGACUUAGUUGAAAGGGAAGAAGCAAGCUUUCAAGAAGAGUCGGACAAUGAUGUCAUAAACAAAGAGAAGAUAUUGAUGGAGUGAGUGUUGCAGCACAUUCUCUUAAUAAUAAAGAAGAAGUAGAUUUAGAAGUUGGGGAUGAAUCUGAUCAUGAAAAUGGGGAUGACUUCAGUUCUCUUGCAACAGAUACAGAAUAUGUUUCUGAGGAAGAAUAUAAUGAAAAUGAGGAUAGUGAUUGGUUAUGAUCUUCAAUUAGUCUUCAAGAGAACUUUGUUUAUUUCAAUCGCUUUUGCCACAUGACUUUUGUUUCUCCAUCACCUUACCGAAAUGGAUAAUUUAUAUUUUCUACUACUUCUUUUAUUUUUGUGAUUUUUGUGUUGUAACUUUAUUUGUUUCACAUUAUUUCUGGACAUAUCUUGCAUUUUUUCUUAUCAUUUUACUGCCUUCACUUUGACAUUUGACUAAUGUCCAAUAAUAUAAUUUUUUUGAAUAUGUUACAGCCUAUCAUGACAACAAAUAUGCAUGUUUCUAAUAAUAUUGAACUUGCUGCCGAUGUAGUUUCAAAUUCACAGCCGGUAAGUUAUUUCAUUUAUUAAAAUUCUAGCCCUUUAAAAUCCCUAGCUUGUAUAUGUUUAAUUUGCCAUAUACCUAAAUGUUUUCCUAUGUUGCUGAAGGAAAAAAGAGAAAGGGAAAGGAAAAGACAACAGGGCUUUCAGUUCAAAAGAAACAGAAAGACAUUGACAAUGGAAAGUUGAAGGUGAUUGUCACCACCCUAAAACUAACCCGAUGGUGAUGGCGCCUACCGUGAAUUUAGGCCAACCGACACCAAACCCCAAACAAACCAGAAAUUCAUAAUAAGUCGUUUUGAGCCAUUAAUUAACUAAAUCCCAUAAUAUAAGUUAAGAGAAACAGUGCGGAAAAUAUAUAACACAGCCCGACAUCGGGGUGUCACUAGUCAUGAGCAACUACAACUCGUCUAGGAAUAAGUAAAGACAAUAUAGUCUAAAAUCAAAUGCUAAUACAAAGCUGAAUAAGAUAGGAAAGAGAAGCAUUGGGCUGCGAAUGCCAAGCAGCUACCUAGUCAACUCCGGAGACCUGCUGGAUGACUGAUCAACACUCACUAUCGCGCCUCGAGACUCCUGGAUCUGCACACAAGGUGCAGGGAGUAAUGUGAGUAUGCCAACUCAGUAAGUAAUAAAAGUAAAAGCAAUUGAGCAGUACAAAAAUACGUAAACCACGUCAUAACGCUACAUCAAAAUAGUAUAAGUCCAGAACAAUACAGUAAAGCAAUAAAACUCGUAAAAAAACUCAGUUCAAUAAAAACCUUUUAAAAUAACUUUCAAUAGUUUCAAACGAGUGAUGAAAACAGCGAGUAAAAGGAUAGAAAUGUAGACAGCCCCUCGGGCAAAACAUGUACCAUAACCGCCCUUUGGGCAAAAUAUCAACAGAACCAGCCCCUCGGGCUACCUCACAAUCACUCGUAAUUAGCCCCUCGGUCAAUAGCAUGAAAUAACAACAGCCCCUCGGGCAAUAUCACAUCUCACACUGGGUACCUGCGCUCACUGGGGGUGUUCAGACUCCGGAGCCCAAGCGCUAUCCCAAACCAUCUCGUGGCAUAACAACUCAGGCCCUCGACCUCUCAUAUAUCACAAAUCAGUACAUAUGCUGCGGUGCAGCCUGAUCCCCUAAUGUCCUCACAAUACCGAUCCUCUGCCUCACUCAAUCAAAAUCUCUCAAGGUACUCGGGCAAUAGUAAAACAUGAUGCUCAGCCAAGAUAUCAUUUAAAAAUAUCAAAAUGAAGUAAAUAAGACUGAGUUAUGAAAACAUUAGAAUACAACAUGACUAAGUAGAACUAUGAAGUUAAAACAGUGAGGAAUAACAGUAAAAAGCCCCUAAGGGUCCAAAAUAGUUGGCACGAGGCCCAAAUAUGACAUUUAACUCAAAAUAUGGUAAUAAUUUCCAAAACACAAUGAUAUCAAACAGGUUUUAAUCAAACACACGACUUAACAGUCGUACAGGAUGGACCAAGGCACAAUCCCCAAUGGUACACGACCCCAUGCUCGUCAUCUAGCGUGUGCGUCACCUCAAAGUAGCACAACGAUGUAAAAUCCGGGGUUUCAUACCCUCAGGACAACAUUUACAAUCAUUACUUACCUCAAUCCGGUCCAAACUUUAGCCCACGAUGCCUUUGCCUCUCGACUCGGCCUCCGAAUGCUCCAAAUCUAACCAAAAACCAGAUUCAUACCAUCAAAAUAUGCUAAGAGAAGAAAGCCCACUCGAAAAUAAUCAAUUUACAUAAAAAAUCCAGAAAUUGGCCAAACCCGACCCCCCGGCCCACGUCUCGGAUUCCGGUAAAAAUCACAAAAUUAGAAUCCUUACACUCUCACGAGUUCAUACAUAUCAAAUACAUCAAAAUCCGACCACAAACGACCCCUCAAAUCCCUAAAUAAAAGUCUCCAAUUUCAAGUCCUAAUUCUCCAAUUUAAAGUUGUAAUUCUCCAAUUUAAGGCUUUAAAUCCCAUAAAUUUCAUGUCUAAUUAGGUAGAAAUUACCAUAGAACCGAGUAUUGAGUUCAAAAAUCUUACCUCCAAGUGUUUCCCUUUGAUUUCCUCUUCAAUCCUUCUCAAAAAGAUCCAAAAUCGCUCAACAAUGGUGGAAAUAGACCAAAAAUCGCAAAGGCCACUAUUUAAACAUUCUGCCCAGGCAAAAAUUCCUUCUUUGCGAACGCGGUCAAAGCCUAGAAUUCGUGAAGCACAAUAUUCCAUUGACCAAUUAAUCCUCUUACGCGAACACGACUUCCAUAUCGCAAACGCAAAGCUUCGGCUUACCAGGCCUUCGCGAACGCGACACACCAACGCGAAGAACAAACUACCAGGGCCCCCAGCUGCUCCAGCUCCCCUACGUGACGCAGGACCUACAUCGCGUUCGCGAUGCACACUCAGCCUCAACCUUUGCGAAUGCAGGACCAACAUCACCAAUGCGAAAGGAAACUGGCCUUCCUCACUUAACAUCUCUUCGUGAACGUGAGGGUCCUCUUGUGAACGCGAAGAGCAAAACUAUGCAACACAGAACUGAAGAAAAUGUGCAACUUCUAAAAAUAAGGAUUUGAUAUGUUAACCACCCGAAACUCACCCGAGGCCCUCGGGACCUCAACCUAACAUGUCAACAUAUCCCAUAACAUCAUUCAAACUUAGUCGAUCCUUCGAAUCACUCAAAACAACACUAAAACACCAAAUCAACCUCGAAUUCAAGCCUAAGAAUUCCAAGACUUCCAAAUUCCGCUUUCGAUCAAAAAGUCUACCAAACCUCGUCCGAAUGACCUGAAAUUUUGCACACAUCUCCCAAAUGACACAACAGACCUACUCCAAUUUCCGGAAUUCCAUUUCGACCCCGAUAUCCAAAUCUCCACUACCAACUAGAAAACAUCAAAAUUUCAAUUUCGCCAAUUCAAGCCUAAAUCUAUCCCGGACCUCCAAAACCCGUUCCGAUCACGCUCCUAAGUCCCAAAUCACCUCCCGAAGCUAUCCGAAUCAUCGAAAUUCACAUCUGAGACCUUUUUCGCAUAAGUCAACAUCCAGUUGACUUUUUCAACUUAAGCUUACUCAAAAGAGACUAAGUGUCUCAUUCCUUUCCAAAACCACUCCGAACCCGAACCAACCAACCCGAUAACACAUAAUACAGUUGAAAAAGACAUAAAGAAGAAGAAAUGGGGGAAACGGAGCGGUAACUCAUGAAAUGACCGACUGGGUCGUUACCUCCUCCCCCUCUUAAACAAAAGUUCAUCCUCUAAUGAGUCAAGAAACAUACCUGAAGCCUCAAAUAGGUGAGGAUAUCUACUCCGCAUCUCCCGCUCAGUCUCCCAGGUAGUCUCCUCCAUAGGCCGACCUCUCCACUACACUUUCACGAAAGCUAUAUCCAUUGAUCUCAACUUUCGAACAAGAUGCUCCAAAAUAGCCGCUAGCUCCACAUCAUAAAUCAAAUCACCAUUUAACUGAACCGUGCUAAAAUCCAAUACAUGAGACAGAUCACCAAUAUACUUCCGGAGCAUAGAAACAUGAAAUACCGGAUGCACACUCGACAAGCUGGGUGGCAAAGUAAGCUCAUAAGCCACCUCCCCAAUCCUCCAAAGCACCUCAAAAGGCCCAAUGAACCGAGGGCUCAAUUUUCCCUUCUUUCCAAAUUUCAUAACACCCUUCAUGGGUGAAACCUUCAAUAGAACCUUCUCCCGAACCAUGUAGUACACAUCAUGAACCCUCCUAUCGGAAUAACUCUUUUGUCUCAACUGCGCUGUACGAAGCCGCUCAUGGAUCACCUUCACCUUGUCUAAAGCAUCCUGCAUCAAGUCUGCACCCAAAAGCCUAGCCUCACCCGGCUCAAACCAACCAACUAGAGAUCUAUACCGUCUCCCAUAUAAAACUUCAUAUGGAGCCAUCUAAAUAUUCGACUGAUAAUAUUGUUAUAUGCAAACUCCACGAGCGGUAGAAACUGAUCCCAUGAACCACCGAAAUUAAUGACACAAGCACACAAGAUGUCCUCCAAUAUCUGAAUAGUGCGCUCGGACUGCCCGUUCGUCUAGGGGUAAAAGGUUGUGCUCAACUCGACCUGAGUACCCAACUCUCGCUGUACAGCUCUCCAAAACUGCAAAGUAAACUGAGUACCUCUAUCUAAAAUGAUGGAAACUAGGACACCAUGCAAAUGAACAAUCUCUUGGAUAUAGAUCUCUGCCAACCGCUCUGAAGAAUAGGUAGUACAAAUAGGAAUGAAGUGCGCUGACUUUGUCAGCCGAUCAACAAUCACCAAAAUAGCAUCAAACUUCUUCAAAGUUCUUGGGAGCCCAACUACAAAAUUCAUGGUGAUCCGCUCCCACUUCUACUCUGGAAUAUCCAUCUACUGAAGCAAGCCACCCAGUCUCUGAUGCUUAUAUUUCACUUGUUGACAAUUGAGAUACCGAGCUAUAAAUCCCACAAUGUCCUUCUUCAUUCUCCUCUACCAAUAAUGCUAUCUCAGAUCCAGAUACAUCUUCGCGGCACCCGGAUGGAUGGAAUACCGCGAGCUAUGGGCCUCCUCCAGAAUCAACUCCCGAAGCUCGUCGACAUUGGGCACACAUAUCUGGCCCUGCAUCCUCAAUACUCCAUCAUCACCAAUAGUCACAUCUCUGGCAUUGUCGUGCUGAACUCUGUCCUUAAGGACAAACAAAUGAGGAUCAUCAUACUGGCGCUCUCUGAUGUGAUCAAACAAGGAAGACCGAGAAACUAUACAAGCUAAGACCUGACUGGGCUACGAAAUAUCCAACCUUAUAAACCGAUUGGCCAAGGCCUGAACAUCAACUAUGAGAGGUCUCUCCCCAACAGGAAUAAAUGCAAGACUGUCCAUACUCACCGCCUUCCUACUCAUAGCAUCGACCACUACAUUGGCCUUUUCCGGAUGGUACAAGAUAGUAAUAUCAUAAUCCUUUAGCAGCUCCAACCAUCUCUGCUGCCUCAAAUUGAGAUCUUUCUGUUUGAACAAGUGUUGGAGGCUACGAUGAUCAUUAAACACAUCAGAAGACACACCAUAGAGAUAAUGCCUCCAAAUCUUCAAUGCGUGAAUAAUGGCAGACAACUCUAGAUCGUGAAGAGGGUAGUUCUUCUCAUGGGGCUUCAACUGAUCAGUAAACACCUCACAAGAUACACCAUAGAGAUAAUGCCUCCAAAUCUUCAACGCGUGAAUAAUGGCAGCCAACUCUAGAUUGUGAAGAGGGUAGUUCUUCUCAUGGGGCUUCAACUGACGAUAAGCAUAAGUAAUCAAUUUACCUUCCUUUAUCAACAUACACCCAAUUCCAACUCUCGAAGCAUCACAAUACACUAUAUAUGAACCUGAAGCNNNNNNNNNNNNNNNNNNNNNNNNNNNNNNNNNNNNNNNNNNNNNNNNNNNNNNNNNNNNNNNNNNNNNNNNNNNNNNNNNNNNNNNNNNNNNNNNNNNNNNNNNNNNNNNNNNNNNNNNNNNNNNNNNNNNNNNNNNNNNNNNNNNNNNNNNNNNNNNNNNNNNNNNNNNNNNNNNNGCAAAUCUCUGUGGCUGAGGAUGACUUGGGCCAACUCUGAACCGCCUCUAUCUUCUUCGGAUCAACCUGAAUACCCUUACUAGACACCACGUGCCCCAAGAAAGCCACUGAACUGAGCCAAAACUUACAUUUGGAGAAUUUUGCAUAAAGCUUCUCCUCCCUCAAUCUCUGCAACACUAGAUGCUCUGCGUGCUCCUCCUGACUAUGCUAGUAUACCGGAAUAUCAUCAAUGAAAACAAUCACAAAUGAGUCGAGAUAAGGCCGAAACAUGAUGUUCAUCAAAUGCAUGAACGCUAUUGGGGCAUUGGUCAGCUUAAAAGACAUCACAAGGAACUCAUAAUGACCAUAGCACGUCCUGAAAGCUAUCGUAAGAAUAUCCGAGUCCCUGGUUGUCAAUUGGUGAUAACCUGAACGGAGAUCAAUCUUGGAGAACACUCUCGCUCCCUGAAGCUGGUCAAAUAAAUCAUCGAUACGAGGCAAAUGAUGUUCUUGAUUGUGACUUAGUUCAACCGCCUGUAAUCAAUGCAUAUCCUCAUCGUGCCAUCCUUUUUCUUCACAAAUACAAUAGGCCCACCCCAAGGCGACACACUAGGCCGAAUGAACCCCUUAUCAAGGAGUUCCUAAAGCUUCUCCUUUAACUCCUUCAACUCCGCUAGUGCCAUACGAUACGGUGGAAUAGAAAUGGGCUAAGCGCCCGACACCAAAUCAAUACCAAAAUCAAUAUCCCUGUCUGGUGGCAUGCCCGACAGGUCUGCAGGAAAAUCCCUCACUACAGGAACAGAAUCAAUACUAGGAGUCUCUGCACUGACAUACCUCACAAAGGCUAAGUGUCACACCUCCUUUUUUACACCCCGAGGGGAUGUAAGGGAGUUUUUCCAAUUAAAGUGACAUUAUUCGAAAUGAGAUUAUUUGAAUUAUCAGAGUCGCCACUUGGAAUAGAUUAUUUGGUGUCCUAAGUCACCAGUUUAGUUUAAAUCUCAAAUCGAAUAAGUUUUCGACUUUAUUUAAAAGUCUGCGAACCAGAAAUUUUAAGUAAGGAAUUCUGUUAACCUGGGAGAAGGUGUUAGGCAUUCCUGGAUUUCGUGGUUCUAGCACGGUCGCUUAGCAAUUUAUACUUGGCUUAAAAAUGUAUAAUUACUUAUUUUAGAACCUAUGUGUAUUUACCUAUUAACCGCUUUAAAUUAUCUGAUUUAUUCGUAAUUAAAGAAUUAAGUUACGCGUACGUAUACUCUUUUUCUUUGGCGCAUCAAAAAUCACGUCACACGAAUGUGUCCGCAAUUAAUAACGCUUUGUUUAUUUUAUUAAGAAAAGUUUGGUUGAAGGUGCGCGAACGCAUCCCUCGAGUCUUUUAGAGUUAAAAUUGCAAUUACAUUAUACGAACGUAUACAUAAUCGCAAUACCAAUUUAAAAUCGGGCCUAAAGCAAACUAUGAUUGUUCAAAUUAAUAAGAGGUUUGCGAGGGACAUAGAAAAUUAAAUAAUGGCACUCCUCGAUCUAAAAGAGUUAUUACUAAUUAUACGAGGGCCAUGGACUUAGGAAUUUUGUUUAUCAUGGCACACCUCAAAUUCACAAAUUUUAAUUAGGUUCAUGAGGGCCAUAUAUUAUAGGUUUUAAAACAUGGCACACCUCAAAUAAUUUUUCCUUUUUAGAAGAAAACUUAUUUAAUUAAGGUCACCUAGGAUGUUCCUAUUUAGGACUUAAUUUAACAAAGGCUAACUAAUCAUAAAAAGGUUUUAAAAUUAUCUUUUGGGGCAAGGGGAAUGGGCCAGAAGCAGCCAGCUACGAAUCAGCUUUAAGAGCUGAAACUUGGGCUCACGAAGGGCCCAGAAAUCAGAAGCCUAAAAUGCAAUCACGGUUUCUGAGACAAACAUCCCACGUUGGGCUUAAAUUCUAGGCGGGCCUAGUUGUGCAUUGGCACCGGCUGGGCCUAUCGACCUCUUUGCAUUUUUUUAAACCAUGGUAUACAUAAAUCAUGAGUUACAAAAGAGCUUCUUUUUCGGAUUAAAAGAUUCGAAUUUACAAUCACAAAAUUGAAGGCUAGUCACGAUAUAUCUUGUUUGCAAGCAUAAACUAUUCAUGGCUAGACUCAAAAUAUAUAACUACUUGUUCAUGAGAGCAUACAACAAGAAAUCAAAGGCACGGCUUAAUAGGGCCAAAUCCAACCCAAAGAACAUUUAUCAAGCUUGAGGAAAUGGGACAUGAGCUCAAAAGCCAUUUGGGCCUGAAAUUGGGCCCUAAAGGCAAAGAGUAAACUCAAACAAAGGGCAGCCCAAACGCGACUUUCAACAGGCUGCUUUGGCUUAAACCUUAACUAAGUCCAAACCAAACACUCAAAUCUCUAAAAUUACAGCAAGAAACAUCUUAAUUUAAUGAAGGUUGUUCACAAAAUUAUACCUUAAACUUACCAAGAACACACACAUAGGCGCAUUAAUUGCAGCCCAGCCUGUGAAACGUAAGUUCAGAUUCAGACACUUAGACAGUCCUAUUAUUACACAACUCUUAGUAUUGAAUAACAAACUUUACAUCAAUAACGAGCUUUGCAUUGCUGUUAAUUCAUGCCACUGUUUUCUUGAAAUAAGUAUGCUAAAUGAUAAACUAAUCUAAUUCUAAUCCAUUAACCAAAUAUCAGAAUAAACUAUUACAGACUUGUAUGCUAGUAGAACAUCCUUGCCCCUUUUUGAACAUGGUUUUGUCCAUAGCAGCCUCGUCUUCUUUUGUUAACAUGUAAAUCCCACCUUAAAUCUUCUAAGCCAAUUGAUCCAACCAACUGGUGGCUGAACUAACAGGUUAUAGCUCAUGACCAAAUAAAAAAAGAAAGAAGGUCUUUGAGUGAGGAAAUCUGAUGGAGGAAAAGAAAAAUAUUACUUAAAGAAGCAUGAACAACAUUCUCGACUGUGUGUUUUACUAUGAAUCAAGGCUGUUGGUAUUCAAUUUUAAUAUCAUUUUUUCAUACUAUUGCAAUGCAUACCAAACUACCAAAUAAGCAUGACAUAAAUAAACACACAUUGCUCAUGUUAACACACUUGCCAUUAUACUAUCCAAAGUCUAAGACUAAUCAAACAGUAUCCAAAGAACACUCAUUCAUUGCACAUCCAUUUGCAAAAUUUUGACAUUUUUUUAUAAACUCAUGUACAAGAAAACUACAUAGAGAUCUAAGUAGUACCUGGAACAGUGAGGGUUCAACAAAGAAAAUAUAGAAGAGCAAAUAUCUGAGAAUCCAAAAGAGAACAACAGAAUAACAACAGUAGAUACAGCACAACAAGCCCCAGAAAAUCAGAACUUCAGACCCCGAAAAUGUACAGCUGAAAACAGAGAGACCAGCUAAUGGACUUCAAAACUUGUGAGGACUUAGAGAAAAUUUUGAGUUUUCAAGCUGUUUUGAGUAUGAACUUUUCCGAGAAGAAGAUAAACCUUUUUCAGAAAAAUUGCUUAAGAAAAUAUCUAUUAGAAUCUGUCUUUUUCAAAAGGAUAGAGACUAUAUAUAGGCUGCCUAAGGGGGAUCAUCUUUUAGCAUAUUCCUUAUCCUAAGGAAUAAUAGUACAGUCCUUUUUUAACAGCCCUUGGUACAACUGUCCCAUUUUCAGCAUAUUUUUUAAACAGCUAGGACAGCUGUACACUUUCCUAAAAAUAUCUGAUUUUCAGCCCAAGCAAAAACCCUUUUUUGCCCUUUAGGUUAUUACUUAUUUCAGGUUUUACCUAAACUUUUCUAGUCCAAAUGAGCCCCUAAAUUUCUACUGAUUUUCACAUCAGGGCAAACAACUUGAAACAAAUCCAAAGAUGCAGCAAAUGUGAAUAGAAUAGUGGAAAUUUAGGAAAAAACUAUUGUUAAUUGAAUUUGAAUCAGCCUAUCUUUAUUAAAACUGUUCUUCUUAAUUAACUACAGCAAUCAUACGGAACACCUAAAAUCUAAACUAAUCCAGCAUAUUAUUCAAACACAAAAAUCUAAACUUAAAGCUGGAAAAAGAGAACAUUUAAUCAAGAUAGAAUCAAUACAAUUCUGGCAUAGAAAUUUGAACAGUUACUAAUUAAACAAUCAAUCUAAAACUAAAAUCAGAUGAACAUGUGUCCAGGAGAAGAAAUCAUAAAAGAACAGCUAUUAGCCUAAAAUAAUGCAGCUAUGAACAAUCAAUUCAACAGAAAUUUAAACAAACCUAAACUUAAACGAAUUAAGCAUGCUUUUAAUUAAAAUGGAUGUCAGAAAAUAACUAACUUCACAAGAGGGAAAACAACAGAAGAAAGAUAAACAUGCUGCUACAUAAAAGAAAAAUCAAACAUGCAUAGAAGGAACAAAACCAAAAUUUAAACAAUCAAAAAGAAAAAGAAAAGGAUUUACCCGAUAGAAAUCAAAACUGGAUCAAAACAUGAACAUUGUCCAAACUUCCUGAGAUGUGAUAUGGACUUUGACUACCAUUAAUCGACUGUUCUUAACAAGAACAGUCGACUAAUGGCAGUCAAAGUCCAUUCGACUAACCGUAGACCAGGAAAAGAAGAAGAGGAAUUUUAGGGUUCUUCUGAAUCGCCAGAUCUAAGAUUCGAGGCACUCAAGGCUGAUUUGAAAGGGGUUAACGGUGGUUUGGGGUUCAGAUAGGGGUAAGCAUCAUAGGGUGUAAAUUUGAAACGAUUUUGAAUGAUUCAAGUUUUGGCCGGAUCUUUGAUUUAAGAUUCGAACGAAACAGGUUUGAUUCGAAGGAAGGGAAGUGAAUAUUUGGAAUGGGGAGAUGCAGGGGAGUCUGUGGUAUCUUUUUAGGACUGAUUUGACCAUUGGAACCACAGUGAGGCGAUUUCUGGUGGGUGGUUUGUGGCGGAGGCGGUGAGGGAACGAAGGGCGGCUAGGGUUUCGUUGGUGGGGGUGAUAUACAGAGCAAAGUGAGAUGAAUUUCAGUCUUUGAGGGGGGGGGGGGGGGUUGAACUCAGUUAGGACAGUUAUAUUAUUUUGAAAUUUUAUAAAAUAAAUAAUUACUGAUUAAUUCUAAAAAAUAUAAAAAUAAAUCCUAAAUGCAAUGCAUGACAUUUUUAGUAUUUUUCAUGAUUUAAAUAAAUUAAACAUGCACAGAAAAAUACAAAUAAUUCAGAAAAUUCUACAUAAAAUCCUAAAAUGGCCAAUAAUUAACAAAAAUAUAUUUUUCUCGGGAUUUUAUAGGAGUAUUUUUGUAUAGGGCAAAAAUCACAUGCCCACAACUGCCCCUCUUUGCUUGAAAACACAAAGGAUUUUCGGGCAAAGAUAAAAUUAGCAACUAUGAGGGAUUUUUGCCCAUUUGAAACUCCAUGAGAAGUACUUUUGAAAAGAGUCUGACCGAACCUUGCUUCAGAGGUUGCCUACAUAUCCUUGGCUAUAAAAGAAUCAGGCCAGUGUAGUUAUGGAAGUUUUGGUAGCUGGUACUACCGGGAAGCUGUAAUUUCAGUGUUGAUGUUGCUGCUACUACUUGCUGAACUCCUUAUUACACUAAAAUGGAAGAUAAAAAGCUAAACUAGCUAAGCCUAUCAACUACAAGUUACAAGUUUGAUCUUGAGUCUUGGCUGGUUCUUCCUGCGGACUCUGAUCUGGAUCUUGAUGCUCGUUAGCUGCAACCGCUAGUUCAUUCUUCUUCAGCUUUCUGGAUCGAAGCGGGACAUGCAAAGCUUGCUACUUAAGUCUUACCUUAAGCAGUCUGUAUCUUUUCUCUGCUUCUGCACUUGAAAUCCCCUUCUUUUCUUGCUCUUUCUUUUCUUUUAUUUGGGCUGAGAUUUCUUCUUUUGGUCAUCUCAAACCUUGCACCUCAUGGUAGAAAUCCUGUUCAGGCACCAAAGCAAACAAACGAACGAGAUUUUCUGCCCCAGUUUUCACUAGAAAAAUUUCGUGAGUUAUUGUAACAAAAUCUCAGCUAUUUCUUUAUUGAAACUAAAAUCAGGAUUGUAUAUCCUUGGGAAAAGAGAUUAGGGAGUAGAGCCCUAUAUCUAUAAUGAAAUCAACUAGGGAUUGGGGCCCUAAAUUGGAAAGAUUGCCAGGUUAUGCUGGAAAAAUGGCUGGGUUAUGCUGUGAAAGAAAAAGGUCCUGGGGUUAUGCCGGGGAGGUCAUCGGUUUAUGCCGGAAAAAGGGAAAGGUCCUCAUAUUAUGCCGGGAAAGUCAUCGAGUUAUGCCGGAAAGAGUCCACGGGUUAUGCCGGGAAAGAAAAAGGUACUCGGGUUAUGCUGAGGAAGUCAUCGGGUUAUGCCGAAAAAGAAAAAGGUUCUCGAGUUAUGCCGGGAGGUCAUAGGGUUAUGCCGGGGAAGCCAUCGGGUUAUGCCAGAAAAGAAAAGGUCCUUGGGUUAUGCCGGGAGGUCAUCGGGUUAUGCCGAAAAAGAAAAAGGUUAUCGGGUUAUGCCGGGAAAGUCAUCGGGUUAUGCCGGAAAAGAAAGGGUCCUCGGGUCGGGUUAUGCCGAAAAAAGAAAAGGUCCUCGGGCUAUGCCGGGAGGUCAUCAGGUUAUGCCGGAAAAGAAAAAGUUUCUCGGGCUAUGCUGGGAAGUCAUCGGGUUAUGCCGGAAAAGGUCCACGGGUUAUGCCGGGAAAGAAAAAGGUACUCGGGUUAUGCCGGGGAAGUCAUCGGGUUAUGCCGGAAAAACAAAGGUCCUCGAGUUAUGUCGGGAAAAAAGGUCCUUGGGUUAUGCCGGGGAUCAACUAAGGAGUGGAUCCUUGUAAUGGAAAAGACUACCAGGUCAUGCUGGGAGCGACUAGGGAAUGGGACCCUAUAUUGGGAAGAUACAGCUAGAGUCUGGAAGCUCUAUGCUAGCAUGGUUUUGAAUUUUUUAUUCAAGAGAAUUCAUGGAGAGUUUUGAAAGGUACUUCCCUUUUUGGGUUAAUUUCUACUGCAGGACCGUUCUGGUCUCUGUGCGCCUUGCUUUUAUUGCACCUGCUCCUCACGAGGUUAUCUUGGAUUGCACCUGUUUUCAAAUCAAAGAACCAUUUGUCAGUUUGAAACAGUGGUUGGUUUUGUGGCCUUGAUUGUUUGAUCAUUUCAUCCCGACCCAACCCUUUCUCUGAAAUCUUUUACUGCUUGUUGGCUUUCUGGAGACUGAUUUUCUUCUAAAACCGAGUAAUUUGACUUCUACUAGAAUUGCACAUGAUGGUUCGCCCGUGUGGGCCUUUGGCCUUUUCAUCUUAUUUUGCCUUUAUGGGCACUUUGACUUUGGAUUUCUUUUAUUUUCGAUAAUUUAACUUCGGAGCAUCGGCCAUCACGGCCAGUCGGGAUCGACUCGAUGCACUCACUGAGGCUAGAUGCAUUUUUGUUUGGAUUUGGCUUUUGUUAAGCAGAACCCUGUAAAACCAAUCUUGCUGCCUUUUCUUUGUAUUAGUUUCGAAACAUAGUUAGACCAAAAGAGAUUCACAGAAAAGUAAACAAAGGUCAAGAAAGUGAAUUUAAAGAGAAGUGUCCUUUUCGGGGAGGAAAGAAGGACUUAUCUGGAGUGCAUGCAGACUUCAAUAGACAUGACAUGCCUUUUGGACUGGAUACCCGAUCUGCACAACUAUCUAACUUCUCAUAAACCCAUUAUGACCCGUGUUUUAAAUCGAGAAACCUCGCCAGGACUCUUUCAAUGCCAAUAGUGGCGAGGGAUUUAUUUUUUUCAUCAACGGCGCCCUUUGUAGGUUUUCGCCAAUCAACCUCUCUCAUUUCUCUUAUCACCGUCGCCUUUUAGUGCUCUUUACGAGUUUUUACUAACAAGACUCUCUCAUUUUUCAGUUUCUCUGCUCACCAUCGCCUUACGGUGCCUGUAGGUUUUCACCAAUAAGGCUCUCUCAUCUUAUUUCUCUCAUCUUGAUUGCAUUGGAUCCAAAGACUGUAUUCUGCGAUUUUGAACACCUUUCACCGAUUGAUCAGAAGGACUUGAACAAGGUUUGGGUAAAAAGAACUUGAAUCAAAUUACAACUUUGGAACCAAUCAGGCCGGAUUAUCGCUGAACCAUUAUAACAUCUGCCCCUGUUUCACUUUUGGGGGAAAUUGGACUUUUGUUUUGGUGUGACUGAACCCCAGAGAGAGGCUUCCUACGUAUCCUUUCGGAAUCAAGUCGAACAUAGUUCAGGGAAACAUGUUGUUUUUUCCUUUUUCUUUUGUUUUGAUGAAUUUUUUUUACCAAACGUUUUCAAGUUCCAAGGAGGGUAAUGAAAGACAGGUAACCGGCUCAAAGGGUUAGCAAAGGAUUGGAGUGUUUGGGGUAGUGAGAAUGAAAGCCUUCGUCAUCCCAAUCAAAUAAUGUUGUUGCUGCAGAAAGACUAGACAUAUUACCUUUUGACUGCGUCUGCAUUUACAGCUGUUUCGGGGUCAUUUCCUUCAAUGUCUCCCAGGUAUAACGCCCCUUUUGGCAACAAUUUCCUGAUAAUGUAUGGGCCUUUCCAGUUAGGAGCAAACUUUCCUUUCGCUUCCUGAUGAUGGGGGAGAAUACGCCUUAAAACGAGUUGCCCCAUUUUAAAGUUUCUAGGCCGCACUUUCUUGUUAUAGGCACGGCCAUUCUCUGUUGAUAGAACUGCCCGUGGCAGACUGCGACCAUUCGCUUUUCGUCGAUCAAGGUUAACUGUUCCAAAUGGGUUUUGACCCACUCACUGUAUUCAAUGUCAACUUCAACAAUGAUCUGAAGAGAAGGGAUUUCAACUUCUGCGGGUAUUAUAGCUUCAGUGCCAUAAACCAAAAGAUACGGGGUUGCUCCGACUGAUGUGCGGACAGUAGUGCGAUAUCCCAACAAUGCAAAUGGCAACUUUUCAUGCCAUUGCCUGAAACUUUAGAUCAUAUUUCUUAGAAUCUUCUUGAUGUUUUUGUUUGCUGCUUCGACAGCGCCAUUGGCUUUGGGCCGAUAAGGAGUAGAAUUUUGAUGCGUGAUCUUAAACUGCUCACAUAUCUCUCUCAUCAAGUGACUAUUCAAGUUUGCAGCAUUAUCUGUAAUGAUAGUUGCAGGAAUACCGAAACGACAGAUGAGACUGGAGUGCACGAAGUCUACCACAACUUUCUUGGUGACAGAUUUGAGAGUAAUCGCCUCAACCUACUUCGUGAAAUAGUCGAUGGCGACCAAUAUGAAUCUAUGCCCAUUUGAAGCUUUUGGCUCGAUCGGCCCAAUGACGUCCAUACCCCAGGCAACAAAUGGCCAAGGUGCUGACAUGGGAUGCAGUUCUGUAGGCGGUGCAUGAAUCAAGUCACCGUGCACCUCUGACACUGAUGACAUUUUCGGACGAAACUGAAGCAAUCUUUUUCCAUAGUCAUCCAAUAGUAGCCUGCUCGAAGGAUCUUCUUUGCCAAAACAUACCCAUUCAUGUGGGGUCCGCACACUCCUACAUGCACUUCAUACAUGAUUCUUUCGGCCUCUUCGGCGUCAACACAUCUUAACAAAUUUAGAUCCGGAGUCUUUUUGUACAAGACCUCACCACUCAAGAAGAAACCACUUGCAAGCCAUCUAAUGGUUCUCUUUUGGUCUCCAUUGGCUUGCUCGGGAUAUUCUUUCAUUUUCAGAAAUCUCUUGAUAUCAUGAUACCAUGCCUGAACAUUUGGCUCCACCUCGACCGUAUUGCAGUAACCAUGCCUUUCCCGGAUUUGGAUUUCCAACGGGUCGAUGUGGAGAUUGCCUGGAUAAGGCAACAUCGAGGCCAAAGUAGCAAGUGCAUCGACCAACUCAUUGUGAAAACGAGGAAUGUACCUGAACUCGACUGACUUGAACCAUUUACUAAGAUCUUCCACAUGUUGCCGCUAUAGAAUAAGCUUGACAUCCCGAGUUUCCCAUUCACCCUGAGCUUGUUGGAUAAUCAAAUCCAAAUCUCCCAUGAUCAACAGCUCCUCGACAUCUUGGUCAAUCGCCAUAUUCAUACCCAUAAUGUAGGCUUCAUACUCGACAGUGUUGUUUGUGCAGAAAAACUGAAGCCGGGUUGUGGCUGGAUAGUGCUGACUCGUGCGUGAGAUCAAGAUUGCCCCAAUUCCGACACCUUUUGCGUUCACAGUGCCAUCGAAGAACAUUUUCCAUGCAUUGGUGUCUUCUGAUGUUACCUCAACUGAAUUUACCUCUUCAUCCGGAAAGUAGGUAUUCAAGGGCUGGUAUUCAUCAUCAACAGGGUUUUCAGCUAGGUGGUAUGCUAAAGCCUUGGCUUUCAUUGCCGUGAGGGUGACAUAGACUAUGUCAAAUUCGAUGAGCAGGAUCUGCCAUUUUGCUAACCUCCCUGUGGGCAUUGGCUUCUGGAAUAUGUACUUUAAAGGAUCCAACCUAGUGAUGAGAUAAGUGGUAUAGGCCAGCAGGUAAUGCCUAAGCUUCUGAGCGACCCAAGUUAGGGCGCAACAAGUCCUUUCCAACAGGGUAUAUUUGGCUUCAUAACUUGUGAAAUUUUUGCUUAAAUAGUAGAUUGCCUGCUCCCUUCUCCCGGUCACGUCAUGUUGCCCGAGGAUACAUUCGAAAGAAUUUUCCAAGACUGUCAAAUAUAGAAACAAAGGCCUCCCAGGUUCAAGUGGGACCAAAACUGGAGGGUUCGACAGAUAUUCUUUGAUUUUGUCAAAGGCUUCUUGACACUCAUCUGUCCAUUUAAUCGCCGCAUCCUUCUUUAACAGCUUAAAUAUGGGCUAAUAGGUAGAAGUCAACUGAGCAAUGAACCGGCUGAUGUAAUCCAACCUUCCCAAUAGGCUCAUGACCUCUUUCUUGGUUCUUGGAGGAGGUAAAUCUCAAAUAGACUUUAUCUUGGUUGGAUCUAGCUCGAUGCCCCUCCGACUGACUAUAAAUCCCAAGAGUUUGCCAGAUGGAACCCUAAAUGCACAUUAGCUGGAUUCAACUUCAAAUCAUACUUACGCAGCCGCUUGAAGAACUUUCUCAGAUCCCGAACAUGGUCAUCCUGUGUUCUAGAUUUGAUGAUCACAUCGUCCACAUACACCUCGAUUCUUGGUGCAUCAUGUCGUGAAAGAUGGCAGUCAUGGCCCUCAUAUAAAUUGCACCAGCAUACUUCAAACUAAAAGGCAUGACCCUGUAACAGUAGGUGCCCCAGGGUGUAGUGAAAGCUGUCUUUUCCGCAUCCUCUUCAUCCGUCAACACCUGAUGAUAUCCUGCAUAACAAUCCAUGAAAUAUUGUAUCUCAUGUUUGGCACAGUUAUCAACAAGGAUGCGGAUGUUUGGAAAAGGGAAAUUGUCCUUGGGACUUGCUUUGUUCAGGUCCCUGUAGUCAACACACACUCGGGUCUUCCCGUCUUUCUUUGGUACGGAAACUACAUUGGCCAGCCAUAUGGUGUAUCGGACCACUCGGAUCACUCCCACCUUCAACUGUUUUGUGAUCUCUUCUUUGAUCUUGUCACUGAUAUCAAUUUUAAACUUCCUCUACUUUUGUUUGAUAGGGGGACAAUCAGGGUAAGUUGGCAGCUUAUGGACCACCAAAUCGACACUUAGUCCUGGCAUGUUGGUAAGACCAAGCAAACACAUCUUUAAAUUCGAACAAAAGUUGGAUCAAUGCAUCCCUGGUUCUUUCAUCUGUGUGAAUGCUUAUCAUGGUUUCUUGGACCUCUUUAGAACUACUCAAAUUAACCGGCUCGGUUUCAUUUAAGUUCGGCUUAGGUUUAUUUUCAAAUUGUUCCAAUUCUCGGUUUACUUCCCUAAAAGCCUCUUCAUCAUUGUAUUCCGGUUCUUAGUUCAUUAUUUCACAAUUAGACAGUAUGUUUGGAUCUGGGCAUGAAGUCCGCAAGUAUGUCAUGUUAUUUAAAGCUGCAUUAUUAGAACUGAAAGAAGAAAAAAGUAACAAAAAUCAGAAAGAAUAAAGAGAGAUGAACAAUGAAAUAUUGAUUUCAUUUCAUUGAAUUUUGAAGAUAACAGGGUUUACAUUGGAAAUUAAAGACAAUAAACUAAAAAAAACAUCCGAGUUACACCCUGAAAUAACUCAUGAUGCAGAAAAGGUGGCAAAACUGGACUACCGGGAUUCCCGCCUGACUGGGAACGGAGUAGCCUUCCAAUUUUGCAACUUGGCAUCGGGCCCUAUAUACAGCACCUCAGCGGUGCUCGAGCCUUCUCCCGGUUGGACCAUAUGGGUUUCAUACAACAUCUGCCUUAUAGCUCCACAUAUUUCUUCUAUUUUCUCGGCCGUGAAUGCCUCAUCUUCUUCUUCUUCAUUGUACUUGGCCCUGACGAAGGUUUCGAACAGAUGCGGGAUCGGCUAAGACAAGACCCAACCAUUGUUCUUUCGCUCAUUUGCCCAUGUUUCAUCAGCUGGUGUGGCUUGGAAACCCAUACCAAAGAACUUCUCGCUAGCAGCCAGAGUGAUAGGGACCAUGAUUCCUUGCAAUGACGUCCCGAGCCCCUUCCCGGGUUUAUAACCAUGCCUGAUCAUUUCCUUGGCAACCAUAAUUAACGCAUUUGAAAGACAUGAGGACAAGGGUUUUCUUCUUCACAUUGGUCUGCGACCACAACCUCGAAAGCUUGAUAGACUAUGAGUUCACUUCCUUCCCUAGCUUCGAGACAUGGGACUGGCGGGUCCCGAUAAAUCGAUUACUCAUCUUCUCCGUGAACUACAAUCUCCUGAUCUUCAUAUUCAAAUUUUACCAUCUGGUGGAGAGUAGAAGGUACAACCCCUGCUGCGUGAAUCCAAGGUCUUCCCUAGAGGAAAUUAUAGGAAGUAUCCAUGUCUAGGAUAUGAAAGGUCACCUCGAAAUCCACCGCACCAAUAGUUAGAAUCAAAUCAAUCUCACUUAUGGUAUCUCUCUUGAUGCCAUCAAAGGCACGCACACAGACGUUGUUGGGCCUGAUUCUCUCAGUACCGAUCUCUAUUCUUUGCAGAGUUGAGAGAUGGCAGAUAUCUACUCCGGAACCACCAUCCAGCAUGACCCUUUUCACAUAGUACCCCUCACAUUUAACUGUCAGAUGGAGGGCUUUAUUUUGGGCGGCCCCUUCCGGGGGCAAAUCAUUCUUGCUGAAAGAAAUUUGAUUGACUGCAAAAAAUCUCUCUGCCAUCCUUUCCAGCUGUUCCACAAUGAUUUCAAUGGGAACAUACACUUUAUUGAGGGUUCUUAUUAACACCUUCUGAUGCUCGGUUGAAUUCAUUAACAGAGACAAUAAAGAGACCUGGGCAGGAGACUUUCGGAGUUGGUCAAUUACCUCAUAGUCCGUAGUUUUCAUUUUCCUGAAGAACUCUUCUGCUUCUUCGGCACUAAUUGGCUUCUUGAGUGGGAAACUCUUCUUCGUGGCAUUAUUCACUUUCUCCAGAUUAAGGUACUUCCCAGAUGG
rnacentral:lncRNA from 1 species